UGUGGUGCUGAGAAGAAUGUGUAUUCUGUGGAUUUGGGGUGGAGAGCUCUGUAAAUGUCUAUCAGGUUUGCUUGCUCCAGGUCUGAGUUCAAGCCCUGGAUAUCCUUGUUGAUUUUCUGUUUGGUUGAUCUGUCUAGUAUUGACAGUGGAGUGUUAAAGUCUCCCACCAUUAUUGUGUGGGAGUCUAAGUCCUUUUGUAAGUCAUUAAGAAAUUGCCUUAUGUAUCUGGGUGCUCCUGCAUUGUGUCCAUAUAUGUUUAGGAUCGUUAGCUCUUCUUGUUUUAUUGAUCCUUUUACCAUUAUGUAAUGGCCUUCUUUGUCUCUUUUGAUCUUUGUUGCUUUAAAGUCUAUUUUAUCAGAGAUGAGAAUUGCAACUCCUGCUUUUUUUUGCUUUCCAUUAGCUUGGUAAAUCUUCCACCAUCCCUUUAUUUUGAGCCUUUGUGUAUCCUUGCAUGUGAGAUGGGUUUCCUGGAUACAGCACACUGAUGGGUUUUGGAUUUUUAUCCAAUUUGCCAGUCUGUGUCUUUUGAUUGGUGCAUUUAGUCAAUUUACAUUUAGGGUUAAUAUUGUUAUGUGUGAAUUUGAUACUGCCAUUUUGAUGCUAAGUGGCUGUUUUGCCUGUUAGUUGUUGUAGAUUCUUCAUUAUGUUGAUGCUCUUUAGCAAUCAGUGUGAUUUUGGAAUGGCUGGUACUGGUUGAUCCUUUCUAUGUGUAGUGCCUCUUUUAGGAGCUCUUGUAAAGCAGGCCUGGUGGUGACAAAAUGUCUGAGUACUUGCUUGUUCGCAAAGGAUUUUAUUUUUCCUUCACUUCUGAAGCUCAGUUUGGCUGGAUAUGAAAUUCUGGGUUGAAAGUUCUUUUCUUUAAGAACGUUGAAUAUUGGCCCCCACUCUCUUCUGGCUUGUAGUGUUUCUGCCGAGAGAUCUGCUGUUAGUCUGAUGGGCUUCCCUUUGUGGGUGACCCGACCUUUCUCUCUGGCUGCCCUUAGUAUUCUCUCCUUUAUUUCAACCCUGGUAAAUCUGACGAUUAUGUGCCUUGGGGUUGCUCUUCUUGCGGAAUAUCUUUGUGAUGUUCUCUGUAUUUCCUGCAUUUGAGUGUUGGCCUGUCUUGCUAGGUGGGGGAAAUUUUCCUGGAUGAUGUCCUGAAGAGUAUUUUCCAGCUUGGAUUCAUUCUCUUCGUCCCCUUCUGGUACACCUAUCAAACGUAGGUUAGGUCUUUUCACAUAGUCCCACAUUUCUUGGAGACUUUGUUCAUUCCUUUUUGCUCUUUUUUCUCUAAUCUUGGUUUCUCGUUUCAUUUCAUUGAGUUGGUCUUCGACUUCAGAUAUUCUUUCUUCUGCUUGGUCAAUUCGGCUAUUGAAACUUGCGUUUGCUUCGCGAAGUUCUCGUAUUGUGUUUUUCAGCUCCUUUAAUUCAUUCAUAUUCCUCUCUAAGGUAUCCAUUCUUGUUAUCAUUUCCUCGAAUCUUUUUUCAAAUCUUUUUUCAAGGUUCUUAGUUUCUUUGCAUUGAUUUAAUACAUGAUCUUUUAGCUCACAAAAGUUUCUCAUUAUCCAUCUUCUGAAGUCUAAUUCCGUCAUUUCGUCCCAGUCAUUCUCCGUCCAGCUUUGUUCCCUUGCUGGUGAGGAGUUUUGGUCCUUUCUAGGAGGCGAGGUGUUCUGGUUUCAGGUGUUUUUCUUUUUUUUGCGCUGGUUUCUUCCCAUCUUUGUGGAUUUGUCCGCUGGUCGUCUGCGUAGUUGCUGACUUUUCGAUUGUGUCUCUGAGUGGACACCCAGAAUGUUGAUGAUGAAGUAUGUCUGUUACUUGGUUUUCCUUCUACCAGUCUAGCCCCUUCGCUGUACGACUGCUGAGGUCCGCUCCAGACCCUGCUUGUCUGGGGUGCACCUCUAGCAGCUGUGGCACAGCGAGGGAUGCUACCAGUUUCUUUUUCUGCUGUCUUUGUCCCAGGAUGAUGCCUUCCUAAUGUCAGUCUUUUGGAUAUAGAGGGGUCAGGUAGCUGCUUGAGGAGACAGUUUGUACUUUAUAUGGGCUUAAUUGCUGAGCUGUGAGCUCUGUUGUUCAUUCAGGGCUGUUAGGCUGCUAUGUUUGAUUCUGCUGCAACAGAGCUCAUUAAAAAACCCUUUUUUUUUCCUCAAAUGCUCUGUGUUGAGGGGUUUGGGCUUUAUUUUUGGAUGUUUGGUGAGGUGUCCUGCCCAGCUAGAAGGCAGACUAGCCACUGUUUGGCUGCCGAGGCUCUGCCCUGCUGUUGUGUGAUUCGCCCUGUUCCUGCAGGCUCUGCUGUGCUCUCCGCCACGCCCUGCGGCGGAGUCUUUUCGUUGUAGCGUGUUGCCUCGGCAACGGCUGGCUGCGUCAGCAGUGGGCGUGUAUCUUAGUUGGGGCGGGUUGCCUCCGUAGUGGUGGACGCCCCUCCCCCACAGAGCGUCUUGGACCGUCUGCUCGGGAUAGUUUGAAAUCGCGGUUUUGUUCGUCCCACUGGGUAUCCCAAACGAUCUGAUCCUGCAAUCCCCUGGGCUGGCCUACUGUCCAAGUCUCGUUCAGUCUCAAGUCCAGCCCUCUCAAGUCUCAGGUUGCCGGUUCAACAGGGCACCCGGACAAGCGCGCCCUGUGGGGAUUGCUGGGUAGGGCCGGCCACCGCCGCCCCGGCUGCCGGCUUCGCCAGGCAGAUGUACUGCCUGGUGUCCCGUGUCUUUUUUAUACUUGGGAGUUUCCCCGUUCUGUGGGCAACAACGAUCAGUCUGGAAAUGCAGCUCGGACUCACCGUUUGCGGAUUCAACACGAGCUCCAAUCCUGGGUUGUUCUCACAGCGCCAUCUUGAGUCCUCCCCCCAAUAGCAGUUUCUUAAUAAACAAUUCCAGUUAACCAAGGGAACUCUAUUUAGUAGGAUUUUAGGUUAUUAAGAUUUUAUUAUAAGAUCGUUUAACCAUUAACCUGUUGAAGGACUUCUGGACUGUUUAUAGUUUUUUAGUAUUAAAAAUAAAGCUGCUGUUAAAAUUUUUGUAUAGAUUUUUUGUGUGGAUGUUAUUUUUCAUUUCUCUGAUAAGUGUCCAAUAGUGCAGUUUCCUGGGUUGUAUGGCAGUUACAUGCUAGAUCCAUAAAGAAAUGUGCCGGACUUUUCCAAAGUUGUUGUACCAUUUUACAUAUCUACUAAUGAAGUGUGAGCAAUUUAGUUUCUCUAUAUCUUUGCUAGCAUUUGGUGUUGUGACUGUUUUUUAUUUUAGUCAUUCUGUUAGAUGUGUUGUAAUAGUGAUAUUGGUUUUGAUUUGCACUUGCCUAGGGGUUUAUGGUGUUGAACAUCUUUUCAUGUGCCAGUUUUCCAUCUGGGUAUCCUCUUCAGUGAAAUGUCUGUUCAUGUCUCAUUUUCAAAAUAGAUUUUUUUUACUGUUGAGUUUUGAAAGUGCUUUAUAUAUUCUAGCUACUAGUCCUUUGUCAGUAUCUAGAAUAAGCUACUUUGUAGCUUGUCUUUAUAUCCUCUUCUCAUUGUCUUUCACAGAAGAAAAGUUAAUUUUGAAGAGGUUCAAUUUAUUAAUUUUUUUAUGGACUGUGUUUUUAGAAAGUCUGAGUACAAUUCACCUAACCCUAUAUCCUGAAGAUUUUCUCCUGUGCUGUUUCCUAAAAGUUUUACAGUGUUAAUGUUUUAUGUUGAAGUCCGUGAUCCAUUUUGAGUUAUAUUUUUUGUGUGAUACAAGGUAUGGAUCAAAGUUAAUAUUUUUACAUAUGGGUAUUUGAUCCUUUGAGAAUCUUUUCUUUUUUUUUUUUAAAGACAGUCUUGUUCUAUCACCCAGGCUGGUGUGCAGUGAUGUGAUCUUGGCUCACUGCAAACUCCACCUCCCUAGUUCAAGUGAUUCUUAUGUCUCAGUCUCCUAAGUAGAUGGGAUUUCAGGCAUGCCACUGUGCCUGGCUAAUUUUUGUAUUUUUAGUAGAGAUGGGUUUUUACCAUGUUGGCUAGGCAAGUCUUGAACUCCCAUCCUCAGGUGAUCUGCCCGCCUUGGCAGAUAGCUUUAGUAAAGCUAGGAUUACAGGUGUGAGCCACUGUGCCCAGUCUGAGAACCAUUUCUUGAAAAGAUUAGUUGUUCUUCUUUGCACCUUUGUAAAACAAUUAAUUUACCAUAUAUGUCCAGGAGGGAGCACUUCUGGAAUUUAUUAUGUUCAAUUUAGGUGUUUGUCUGCCUUUGUGCCAAUUUAGUACAGUCUUUAUUACUGUUGCUUCUUAGUAAGUCUGGAAGCAAUCAUUGUAAGCCUUCCAGCUUUCCUUAUUUUUUUUUCAAAGUUGUUAUGGCUAUUCUAGGUCUCCUGAAUUUUCAUACGAAUUUUCGAAUCAGUCUGUCAGUUUCUACAAAUAAUCUUCUCAGAUUUUAGUGGGGAAUACUUUGAGUCUGUAGAUUCAUUUGAGAGAGAAUCGACAUCUUUAUUAAUAUAGAGUCUUAAAAUCUGCAUAAAAUAUUCCUCUCCCAAUUAUUUAGAUCUUACUUAAUUUUGCUUGGCAGUGUUUUAUAGUUUUCAGUGUAUGGGCCUUACUUACUUUUUGUUAGAUUUUUCCACUACGUUUUAUUUUUUAUUGCUAUUGUAAAAGGUAUUUUUAAAAUUUUAAUUUCUGAUUAUUUCUGCUACAUAGAAAUACUGUAGGUUUCUGCAUAUUUAUAUCUUGCAACCUAACCUCACUUACUUGUUUUCAUAGCUUUUUAUUUGUGGAUUCUAUUAGAUCUCCUACCUAGACAAUUAUUAUCCUUGAAUAAAGGCAAUUUUUACUUUUUUUCCAACUUGAAUACCAUUUAUUUCCUUUUCUUAUUUUAUUGCACUGCCUAGAAUCUUUAGUAAAAUAGAAGUGGUGAAAGUGGACUUUCUUGUUUUGUUCCUGAUGCUAAGGGCAAAAAAGUUCAGGUUUCAUCUUUAUAUAAAAGUAUUAUAGAUACCUUUUAUCAAGUUGAGGAAAUUUCCUUUGUGGCUAGUUUCCUGAAAAUAUUCAUCAGAAAUGGAUGUUGAAGUUUAUCAAAUGCUUUCUGCAUCCUUUGAGAUGAUCAUAUAGUUUUAAAAUUAUUUAACAUAUUGAACUACAUUGAUUUUCACAUAUUAAACUUUGCAUUCCUGGGAGAAACUACACUUGGUUGUGAUAUAUUUUUUUUUCUAUAUUUUUUCUAUUUGAUUUGCUAUAAUUUUACAUGUUUUUGUGAAGGUUGUUGAACUAUAGGUUUCAUUUUUUGUGAUAUUUUUGUCUGGUUUGAUAUUAGAAUAAUUUUAGGCUUAUAAAUUAAAUAGUAUUCUCCUCCUCUCUCUUUUCCCCACUGUCCCCCCCUCCCUCUUUAGCUUCCUGAGGAGUUUGUAUAGAACUAACACUAUUCCUUAAUCGUUUGGUAGAUUUCCUCAGUAAAGCUGUAUGGGCCUUGAGUCUUUUUUUUUUUUUUCUUUCUGACAGAUUAUUUAUUUAAUAGAUAUUAGGCUAUCUAGAUUAUCUUUUCCUUCUGGAGAAAGCUCAUUUGUAUCUUUCAAGAAGUUGGUGCACUUAUUGCAUAAAGUCAUAUAUGAUAUUCCCAUGUUAUGAUAUCUGUAGAAUCUGUAGUGGUGUUACUUGUCUCAUUCCUGAUAUUGGUAGUUUUUCUCUUUUUCUUAAUUAGCCUGGCUAGAGGGUUAUUGAAUUUAAUCAUGUUUUUCAAAUAAUCAGUUUUUAUUUUCAUUGACUUUUUUGUUGUCUUUUGGUUUUUUACCUCACUGAAUUUAAAAAAAUUUCUGUGGGUAUAUAUUAAUAGUAGGUGGAUAUAUUUAUGGGGUACAUGAGAUAUUGUGAUAUGGGCAUACAAUGUGUAAUAAUCACAUCAGGGUAAAUGAGGUUUCCAUCACCUCAAGCAUUUGUCAUUUCUUUAUGUUACAAAUAUUCCAAUUAUACUCUUAGUUAUUUUAAAAUGUGCAAUAAAUUAUAAAUUAUUGUUGACUGUAAUCAUCCUGUUGUAUUAUCAAAUACUAGAUCUUAUUCAUUCUGUCUAACUAUAUAUUUGUACCCAUUAACCGUCCCAAUUUCGUGGCCCUCCCCCCCAACACACUACUCUUCCCAGUUUCUGGUAAUCAUCAUUCUACUCUCUAUCUCCAUGAGUUAAAUUGUUUUAAUUUUUAGCUCCCACAAAUGAGUCAGAAUGUGAGAAGUUUGUCUUUCUGUGUCUGGCUUAUUUCACCUAACAUCCUCCAGUUCCAUCCAUGUUGUUGCAGAUGACAGGACCUCAUUCAUUUUUAUUGCUGAAUAGUACUCCAUUGUGUAUUUGUACCACGUUGUCUUUAUCCAUUCCCCUGUUGAUGGACACUUAGGUGACUUCCAAAUGUUGGCUAUUGUGAAUAGUGCUGCAGUAAACAUAGCCUUGCAGGUAUCUCUUGAGUAUAAUUAUUUCCUUUCUUUUGGGUAUUUAUCUAGCAGGGGAUUGCUGGAUCAUAUGGUAGUUCUAUUUGUAGGUUUUUUGAAGAACCUCCGUACUGUUCUUCAUGGUGGCUACACUAAUUCGCAUUCCCACCAAUAGAGUCCAAGGGUUCCCUUUUCUCCACAUCCAUCCAGCAUUUAUUAUCGUCUGUCUUUUGCUUCAAAGCCAUUUUAACUGGAGUGAGAUGAUAUCUCGUUGUAGUUUUAAUUUGCAUUUCUCUGAAAAUUAGGGAUGCUGAGAGCUUUUUCAUAUACCUGUUUGCCAUCCGUAUGUCUUUUUUGGAGAAAUGUCUAAUUAGAUCUUUUGUCCAUUUUAAAAUCAAAUUAUUAUAUUUUUUCCUAUAUAAUAGUUUGAGCUUAUUAUAUAUUCUGGUUAUUAAUCCCUUGUCAGAUGGAUAGUUUGUAAAUAUCUUAUCUCAUUCUAUGGGUUGCCUCUUCAUUUGUUGGUUGCUUCCUUUGCUGUGCCAAAGGUUUAUAACUUGAUGUGAUCCCAUUUGUUCAUUUUUGCUUUGGUUGCCUGUGUUUGUGGGGUACUACUUAAGAAAUUUUUGCCUGGACUAACUCUGAAGUUUUCCCAGUGUUUUCUUUUAGUAGAUUCAUAAUUUGAGGUUCUAUAUUUAAGCCUUUAUUUUGACUUGAAUUUUGUAUAUGGUGAGAGAUAGGGGUCUAGUUUCAUUCUUCUGCAUAUGCACGUCCAGUUUUCCCAGUACCAUUUAUUGGACAUACUGUUCUUUACCCAAUGUAUGCUUUUCACCUUUGUCAAAAAUGACUUCACUGUAGAUGGAUGGAUUUAUUUCUGAGUUUUCUAUUCUAUUUGUCUAUGUGUCUAUUUUUAUGACAGUACCCUGUUGUUUUGGUUAUUAUAGCUCUGUAUUAUAAUUUGUUUUUGUUUUGGUAAGGUGUUUUAGAAGAUCUGUAGUAUAAGUUAAAGUCAGGUUUUGUUCUUUUUGCUUAGGGUUGCCUGAGCUAUUCUGGGUCUCUUGUGGUUUCAUGUAAAUUUUCACAUUGUCUAUGUGUGUAUUUUUAUACUGGUACCCUACUUUUUUGUUUACUAUAGCUCUGUACUAUAAUUUGUUUUUGUUUUGGUAGGCUGUUUUAGAAGGUCUGUAGUAUAAUUUGAAGUCAGAUUUUUUUCUUUUUGCUUAGGGUUGCCUGAGCUAUUCUGGGUCUCUUGUGGUUUCAUGUACAUUUCAGGAUUUCUGUGAAGAAUGUCAUCAGUUUUUUUUUUUUUUUUUUAGAUGGAGUCUUGCUUUGUUGCCAGGUAGGAGUGCAGUGACACAAUCUUGACUCACUACAACCUCCGCCUCCCAGGUUUAAGCGGUUCUUCUGCCUCAGCCUGCAGAGAAGCUGGGACUACAGGCACAUGGCACAACACCCAGCUAAUUUUUGUACUUAGUAGAGAUGGGGUUUUACCAUGUUGGCCAGGAUGGUCUCAAUCUCUGGACCUUGUGAUCUGCCUGCCUCAGCCUCCUGAAUGCUGGGAUUAUGGGCAUGAGCCACUACACCUGGCCGUCAUUGAUAUUUUAAUAGGGAUUGCAUUGAAUCUGUAGAUUGAUUUGGGUAGAAUGGACAUUUUAACAAUAUUGAUUCUGACAGGUGGAGAGGUCAGGUUGGCUAAAGCUUUGACCUCCAGCAUUGAGAAAUGGCAUUGGGGGAAGGAUGGAGGGACUGAGAAAAUGAAAAACUAACUGUGAGACCUGGAAGUUGAUUUGAGAGUCAUAUAUAUUUAAAGCAAAAUUUAUUAAAAAUUUAAGGGGUUUCUUGGAUGUCACUCAAAGUAUUGAAGAUGACUCACCUCUUGAUGCCCAGCUUCUCUCAUGUUACUCACCAAAAGCUCAUUUUAGACCCCGAUUCUAUCUUUUUUCUACAGUGAUCAUAGCAAAUCUUCUCUUGUUUAUUUAUGUUGUGUUAUUUUUGGCAUUUUUAACAGAUAUAGUUUGUUCUUACCCUAAUCUAAAUGAGGACAGGUGCCCAGGAAACUACACAAACUCUCAAAGUUCAAAUGGUCAUAAUCCUUGGGAAAGUUAUUUUUUGUUUUUUCCAUGUACAUCUUAAAUGCUACAUCCAGUAUCACCAUAGCAAAGUCAGAAACUGAGGCUAUAACUUGAUCCAUCUACUGAUGGAUAAACCAUCUCAGGUGGCAUUAAUGGUACACUUCACUGGCAACAUACUUAUUCUCUUCAUACUGUGUUGCAGCAUUUCUUCCUGCGGCCCAGCAGAUUAUAUCUUUAUCUCCUUCUGGCCACCCUGGAACUGAUCUGUUCUCUGGUGUGUCUACUCAUUUACACAGUGAAAAUCUGGAAACUUAAUAAAGCUAAACCAUAUCCUGAUGUACUUGAAGGAAAAGUCUAUACUUAACCCAACAAUGUUACCUUGCAGACUGGGUUCAUAACUAUUUGAAACAUACAAGAAAUUGUUGAAAAGCAAGAAGACAUAAUAAUAUAUAUGAAGUGACACAGUUGGCUUUCACUUCCUUGGACCUAGUCUGUUAGCCAAGUAGAAUGUGAGAGGCUCAUCAUCUUGACAGCAAUUGCAGAGGAAUCCAAAGUAAUCUCACAAGCUGCCAUAGAGAAUUGCAACUUUUGCUGAAUAUUUUAUAAUUUUUGCUGGAAACCUGAAUUUGGUUCUUACCUGUGUGGCUAUGUACCAUAUAGGAUUUGGUGCUAAAGGUACUUUGUAGAAGCCUUGAUAACUUGAAGAUAAUGUCUAUUGUGUACUUUCUGAAAUUAUUUAACUACUUGGUUUAUCUUAGGAUCAAAGGUACAAUUUAAACAACAGCAACAAAAAUCCAGUAUUGAAUCUUCUAAUCCAUGAUCUGGAAUACAUGUUUGUUUUUUUGUGUGUCUUCUUCAGUUUCACUGUAGAGAUCUUUUAUUUUAUUUUAUUAUUUAUUGCAUUUUAGGUUUUGGGGUACAUGUGAAGAAUAUGCAAGAUAGUUGCAAAGGUACACAUGUGGCAGUGUGAUUUGCUGCCUUCCUCCCUUUCACCUAUAUCUGGCAUUUCUCCCCAUGCUCUCUCUCCCCAUCUCCCCACCCCCCACUGUCCCUCCCCUAUUCCCCCCGACAAACCCCAGUGUGUAGUGCUCCCCUUCCUGUGUCCAUGUGUUCUCAUUGUUCAACACCUGCCUAUAAGUGAGAACAUGCGGUAUUUCAUUUUCUGUUCUUGUGUCAGUUUGCUGAGAAGUUUAUGUAUCUCAUUGUAUUUGUAGCUGUUGUAAAUGAGAUUACUUUCUUGAUUUUUUUUUUCUCGUUUGCUCUUGACAUGUAGAAAUGCUGUUGAUUUUUGUAUAUUGAUUGUGUGUCCUACAGCCUUACUGAAUUUGUUUAUUCCUUUUGGUAGAGUCUUUAGUUUUUUCCAAACAUAAGAUCAUAUUACUUAAGACAAUGAAACUUUGAGUUUUUCCUUUCCAAGUUGGAUGUCCUUUAUUUCUCUCUCUUGUCUGAUUGCUCUAGGUAAAAAUUCUUUGACUGUUACCAUGCUGCAUAACAGUAGUGACAGUGAGCAUCCUUCCUUGUCUUCUUUCAGGUCUUCAAGGAAAGGCUUUCAGUUUUUACCCAUUCAGUAUGAUACUAGCUGAGGGUAUGUCAUACAGUGUCAUACAUGACUUUUAUUGUGUUGAGGUAUGUUCCUUCUAUACCCGGUUUCUUGGGAGUUUCUGUCAUAAAGGGAUGUUGGAUUUUAUUAGACUCUUUUUCAGUAUCAGUAGAAGUGAUUAUUUGGUUUUUGUCCUUCAUUCUGUUGACAUGAUGUAUCACAUUGAUUUGUAUAUGUUGAACCAUCAUUGCAUCCUUGGGAUGAAUCCCGCUUGUUCAUGAUGAAUGAUAUUUUUAAUGUGUUGUUUAAUUUGAUUUGCUGGUAUUUUGUUGAGGAUUUUUGCAUCAGUGUUCAUCAGGAUAUUGUCUUCCUUUUGUUUGAUGUGUCUGUCUGGUUUUGGUAUCAGGGUAAUAUUAGCUGUGUAAAAUGAGUUUGGAAGUAUUCCCUCCUCCUCUGUUUGUCAGAAUAGUUCAUGUAGGAUUGGUUAUUAGUUCUUCUUUGAAUGUUUGAUAGAGUUCAGCAGUGAAACCAUUGGGUCCUGUACUUGACUGUACUCGGAUACUUUCUAUUACAGCAUCAGUUCCAUUUCUUAUUAUUGGUCUAUUUUGGAUUUCUUUGUGGUUUAAUCUUGGUAGAUUGAAUGUGUCUAGGAAAUUAUCCAUUUCAUCUAGCUCUUCCAAUUUAUUGGCAUAUAAUUUCUCAUAGUCACCUCUAGUGAUUGUUUGAAGUUCUGCAGUUUUGGUUGUAAUGUCUCCUUUUUCAUCUCUGAUUUUAUUUAUUUGGGUCGUCUUUCUUUCUUCAUAUGGAUCUUUUUAAAAAAAAACCCAGCAUUUUGUUUUGUUGAUAUUUUGUAUUUUUUGUUUCAGUUUCAUUUAUUUCUCCUCUGAUCUUGCUUUGCUAGUUUUUAAAGCUGCAUCAUUAUGUUGUUUAUUUGAAGUUUUCUGCUUUUGUAAUAUAGGGGCUUAUUGCUAUAAACUUUCCUCUUAGUACUAAUUUUGCCUUAUCCUAUAGGUUUUGGUAUGCUCUGUUUUUAUUUUUGUUUCAAGACAUUUUAAAAUUUCCUUUUAAAUUUCUUCAUUGACCCUUUGGCUGUUCAGGAGAGAAUUUUUUUUUUUUGAGAAUCCUAAUUAGGUGUUAAGUAAUAAAGCAUCUUGACAAGUACAGAAUAGUAUUAAAAUAUUUUGUAUAAAUGCUUUUAUUUAACUUAUGAGUUGACUAACGACCUGUGGGAUAUUGGAUAAUAUAUUCUUAGAAAUACAGUGCUCUUUUUCUGGCCCUUUUCUUUUUUUUUAAUGGAUAGGAGGUUUCAGUGGGACGGGAGAAUCACAAGGAAUCAGAUGUUCAGAGGAAUGUAUUGAGUAGAGGUGAGGAACUAGGAUGUUGAAAAGUAAAAAAAGGAGAGAAGGAGAGGAAGAAAGAGGAAGAAAAAGAGGGAGAGAGAAUAGGAAUAUUGCUUCAUUCUAAAAAAUGGGUAUUAAUAAUGGCCGAUCAAUAUUUUGUGUAUUUAAAAUGGAGAACUCUAUAAAUAUUUAUUGAGUUUACUUGUUCUGGAUCUGAGUUGAAGUCCUGGAUAUCCUUGUUAAUUUUCUGUCUCGUUGAGUCUAAAUCUCGUUAUGGGUCUUAUGUAUCUGGGUAUUAAGAUCUCUUAUUGUUGCAUUGAUCCUUUUACCACUGUAUCUUUGUUGCUUUGAAAUCUAUUUUAUCAAAUGUGAGAAUUGCAACUCUGGCUUUUUGUUUAUUUAUUUAUUUUUGAUCUCCAUUUGGUUGGUAAAUUUUUUUCCAACCCUUUGUUUUGAGUCUUUGUGUAUCUUUGGAUAUACCGUUCGGUUUUGGCUAUAUCUUUUGAUUGGGGGAUUUAGUCGAUUUAAAUUUAGGGUUACUGCCAUUUGAUGUUAACUGGCUAUUUUAUCCAUUGGUUGAUGUAAAUUCUUCUUUAUGUUGAUGCUCUUUACUUUUGGUAUAUUUUUAGAAAGGCUCAUACUGGUUGUUCCUUUCUAUGUAUAAUGCUUCUUUCAGAAGUUCUUGUAAAGCAGGCCUGGUGGUAAUAAAAUCUCUGAGUACUUGCUUGUUCAUAAAAGAUUUUAUUUUUCCUUCAAUUGUGAAGCUUAGUUUGGCAGGAUAUGAGAUUCUAGGCUGAAAGUUCUGUUCUUUAAGUAUAUUGAAUAUUGGCCCCCACUCUCUUCUGGCUUGUAGGGUUUCCGCUGAGAGAUCUGUAAGUCUAAUAGGCUUACAGGAGAGAAUAUUAUUUAAUUUCCACAUUUGUAUAGUACCCAUUGUUCUUCUUGUUAUUGAUUUCUAGUUUUAUUCCAUCGUGGCCAGAGAAGAUACUUGAUGUGAAUUCAAUUUUUUGAAUUUUUAAGAGUUGUUUUGUGAGCGAACAUAUGGUCUAUCCUUGAGAAUGAUCCAUGUGCUGAGGAGAAGAAUGUGUAUUCUGCAGCUGUUGGAUGAAAUGUUUUGCAGAUAUCUGUUAGGUUUGUUUUGGUCUAUAGUUCAGAAUAAGUCCAAUGUUUCUUUUUUACUUUUCUGUCUGGAUAAUCUUUCUAAUGCUGAAAGUGGGGUGUUGAAAUCUCCAGCUAUUAGCCUGGGUUUUAUCUUUCUCUUUAGCUCUAAUAAUAUUUGCUUUAUAUACUUAGGUGUUACAGUGUUGGGUGCAUAUGUAUUUACAAUUGUUAUAUCACCUUUCUGAGUUGACCCUUUAUCAUUAUAAAAUGACCUUGUCUUUAUAGUUUUUCUCUUGAAAUCUAUUUUGUCUCAUACGAGCUACUCCUUCUGUUUGUUGAUUUCCAUUUGCAUGCAGUAUCUUCUUUUAUCUCAUUAUUUUCAGUCGUUGUUGUAUGUCAUUAUGGUGAAGUGUUUCUUUUAGGCAAUAGAUCAUUGGGUGUUGCUUUUUUAUCCAUUUAGCUGCUCUUUGUCUUUUUGAUUGGAGAGUUUAAUUUAUUUACAUUUAGUGUUAUUAUUGAUAUGUAAAGACUUAGAACUACCAUUGUGUUAUUUGUUUUCUGGUUGUUUUAUAGUCUUCUCUUCCUUUAUUCCUUUUUUUUUUUUUUUUUUUGAGACAGAGUUUUGCACUGUGGCCUGGUCUGGAGUGCAGUGUCAUGAUCUUGGCUCACUGCAACCUCUGUGUCCUGGGUUCAAGUGAUUCUCCUGCCUCAUCCUCCCUAGUAGCUGGGAUUACAGGUACCCACCAACAUGCCCAGCUAAUUUUUUUGAAUUUUUAGUAGAGACAGAGUUUCGCCAUGUUGGCCAGGCUGGUCUCAAAUUCCUGACCUCGUAAUUCACAUGCCUCAGCCUCCCAAAGUGCUGGGAUUAAGGCGUGAGCCACCAUGCCCAGCUGCUUCUUGUCUUUUUGUGAAGGUGAAUUUCUCUGGUGGCAUAUUUUAAUUAUUUGCUUUACUUUUUGUGUAUCCUGUGUAGUUUUUUUGACUUGCUAUUACCAUGAGGCUUUUAAAUAACAUAAGCCAUUAUUUUAAACAGAUGACAACUUAAUACUAAUUGUAAAAAGAAGCAAAGAGAAAACUAAUAAAAACUCUAUACUUUAACUUCAUCCACUCCACUUUUUAAUUUUGGUUAUUUUUAUCUUGCUGCAUUGUCUAUGUCUUGAAAAGAUACAGUUAUUUUUUGAUAGGUUCAUCUCUUGGCCUUUAUACUCAAGAUAUGAGCAGUUUAUACACCACAAUUACAGUGUUACAAUAUUCUGUGUUUUUUUGUGUGCUUACUAUUACCAGUGCACUUUUUACCUUCAGAUGAUUUCUAAUUGCUCAUUAACAUCCUUUUCUUCCAGAUUGAAUAACUUCCUUCAGCAUUUUUGUAGAACAUGUCUGGUGUUGAUGAAAGCCCUUAGUUUUUGUUUGUCUGGCAAUGUCUUUAUUUCUCCUUCACAUGAAGGAUAUUUUCACUUGAUAUACUAUUCUAGGAUAAAAGUUUUUUCCUUCAGCAUCUUAAAUGUCAUGUCACUCUCUUCUGGCUUAUAAGGUUUCUACUGAGACACAUGCUGCCAGAUGUAUUAGAGCUCCUUUAUAUGUUAUUUCUUUUUUCUUGCUUCUUUUAGGAUCAUUUCUUUAUCUUUGACAUUCAGAAGUUUGGUAAUUAAAUGUCUUGAGGUAGUCUUAUUUUGGUUAAAUCUGUAAUCUCUCUGUGCUUGAAUAUUGAUGUUUUUGUCAAGGUUUGGAAAAUUCUCUCUUAUUAUCCCUUUGAAUCAACCGUCUACCCCAUCUCUCACUCUGCCUCCUUGUUAGGCCAAUGACUAUUAGAUUUGCCCUUUUAGGACUAUUUUCUAGAUUUUGCAGGCAUACUUUAUUCUUUUUUUUUUUUUUUUUUUUUUUAGACAGAGUUUUGCUCUUGUUACCCAGGCUGGAGUGCAAGGGCACGAUCUCGGCUCACUGCAACCUCUGCCUUCUGGGUCAGGCAAUUCUCCUGCCUUAGCCUCCUAAGUAGCUGGGAUUACAGGCACGUGCCACCAUGCCCAGCUAAUUUUUUGUAUUUUUAGUAGAGAUGGGGUUUCACCAUGUUGACCAGGAUGGUCUCGAUCUCUUGACCUCGUGAUCCACCCGCCUUGGCCUCCCAAAGUGCUGGGAUUACAGGUGUGAGCCACCGCGCCCGGCCCCUAUUCUUUUUUAUCCUUUUAUUCUUUCGUCUCUUCUGACUGUAUUUUGAAAUAGCCUGUCUUCAGGUUUAUGAAUCAUUUCAUCUCCUUGAUCAGUUCUGCUGUUGAGAGACUCUGAUGCAUUCUUCAGUGUGUUAUUUGAAUUUUUCAGGUUCAAUAUUUCUGCUUGAUUUUUAAGUUAUUUCAAUCUCUUGUUAAAUUUAUCUGAUAGAAUUCUGAAUUCCCUUUCAGUGUCAUCUUGAAAUUUGUUGAGAUUCUUAAAAACAGCUGUUUAGAAUUAUAUGCCUAAAAGGUCACAUAUCUCUGUCACUCUGGGAUUGAUCAUUUGUGCCUUACUUAGUUCAUUUGGAAAGGUCAUGUUUUCUUGGAUGGUCUUGAUGCUUGUGGAUGUUUGUUGAUGCCUGGGCAUUGAAGAGUUAGGUAUUUAUUAUGGUCUUUGCUGUCUAGGCUUGUUUGUCCUCAUCCUUCUUGGGAAGGCUUUCCAGGUAUUCAGAGGAAUUGAGUGUCCUGAUCUAAGUUUUUGUUCACUGUAGCUGCACUGCAUUAGGGGGCACCACGACCCAGUAACACUGACUCUUAAAGACUGGUGGAGGUACUGCUUUGGUGGUUUUGGGUGAGAUCUGAGAGAAUUCUUGGAUUACCAGGCAGAGACUCUUGUUCUCUUUCCUUACUUUCCUCCAAACCAACGGAGUCUCUCUCUCCGUGCAGAGCUGCAUGCAGCUGAGGGAGGGGUGAAAGAAGCAUGCCUGUGACCACCACCACUGGGACUGCGCUGGAUUAGACCUUAAACCAGCAUAGCGCUAAGUCUUACCCAGGACCUGUGGCGACCACUGUCUGGCUGCCACUGAUGUUCACUCAAGGCCCAAGAGCUCUUCAGUCAGCAGGUAGUGAAUCCAGCCUGGCUUGUAUCCUUCUUUCAUGACAGCAAGCUCCCCACUGCCCAAGGUGGGCCCAAGAACCAGGACCUGGAGUCAGGAAACUUAGGAAUCUACUUAAUGUUCUGUUCUGCUGUGGCUUAGCUGGCAUCCAAGCUGCAGGACAUGGUUCUUCCCAUUCUUCCCUCUCCUUUCUUCAUGACCACCACUUUCCAAGGCCUGUGGUGAGUACUGCGUCGCUACUGCUGAUGUUCACUCAAGGCCUGAGGGCUCUUCAGUGAGUUUGUAGUCAAUGUUGCCAGGCCUGGGUCUCUCCCUUCAGGGUGUUGGGCUCCUCUUUUGCCCAGAGUAGAUCCAGAAAUGCCAUCAAGGAGCCAAGACUUGGAAUCUGGGAUCCUAGGAGCCUGGUUAGUGCUCCAUCUUAUGAUGGCUUAGCUGUGGCCACCAAGCUGUGAGACAAAGUCCCCAUUAUUCUUCCCUUUCCUUUCCUCAAGCAGAAAGUGAUAUGGUUUGAAUAUUUGUCCCACCCAAAUCUCAUGUUGAGAUGUUGUAAUCACCAGUGUUGGAAGUGGGGCCUGAUGGGAGAGGUAUGUGGGUCAUGGGGGUGGAUUCCUCAUGGUUUCCUGUUGUUCUUAAGAUAGUGAGCGAGUUCUCAUGAGAUCUGAUCAUUUAAAAGUGUGUGGCACCUCCCUUUGCUCCUUGCUCCUCUCGUUAUAUGGCCUGCAAGCACCUGCUUCAUCUUCUGUCUUAAGUAGAAGCUCCUUGAGGCUUCCCCGGAAGCCAAGCACAUGCAUGUUGGUACAGCUUGCAGAACAGUGAACCAAUUAAACUUCUUUUCUUUUUUAAGACAGUCUCUCUCUGUCCUCCGGCUGGAGUGCAGUGACGUGAUCUCAGUUCACUGCCACCUCCACCUCCGAGGUUCGAGCAAGUCUUCUGCCUCAACCUUCAGAGGAGCUGUUAUUACAGGUACGUUCCAUCAUGCCUGGCUAAUUUUUGUGUUUUUAGUAGAGACGGAGUUUCACCAUGUUGGCUAGGCUUGUCUCGAACUCCUAGCCUCAAGUGAUCCACCCACCUUGGCCUCCCAAAUUGCUGGGAUUACAGGCAUGAGCCACCGCACCCAGCCUAAACUCCUUUUCUUUGUAAAUUACCCAGCCUCGGGUAUUUAUUUAUAGUAACACAAGAACGACCUAAUACAGAAGGAAUCUGUCCCCAUAGCCACCACAGCUGUGAACAUGGUGGGUCAUGCUUGAAGCCUGCAUGGCACUGGUUCUUACCCAAGGCCUGCAGCAAGUUCUGCUUGGCUACUGGAAAGUACUGGCAAGUAUUACCUGCUGAUGUUUAUUCAAGGCCCAAGGGCUCUUUAGUCAGCAGGUAAUGGAUCCUGCCAGAACUGUGUCCUUCCCUUCAAAGCAGUGGGUUCCCUUCUAGCCCAGGGUAUGUCUAGAAUUGUCAUCUGGGAGCUAGGUCCUAGAAUGGGGGCUUCAGGAUGCUGCCUGUGCUUCAUUCUCUUGUGGAAGAACUGGUAUCCCAGUUGCAAAAUGAAGUCCUCUUUACCCUUCCCUCUUCUCUCCUCAAGCAGAAGGAAGGAGUCUCUCCUAGAGCUGUGAGCUGUGCCACCUGGGAUUGGGAGAGGGGUGACACAAGCACUCCCUUUCUUUCCCAGCUGGUGUCUCAGCUCAGUGCAACCUCUGCCUCCUAGGCUAAAAGAAUUCUCCUACCUCAGCCUGCUGAGUAGCCGGGACUACAGGCACACAUCACCAUGCCUGGCUAAUUUUUUUGUAGAGACAGGUUUGCCAUAUUGCCUAGGCUGGUCUUGAACUCCUGAGUUCAAGUGAUCCACCCACCUCUGGAUCACAGGCAUGAGCCCCCAUGUCUGGCCUGGGGUCUUACUAGGUAAUGAGUACCCAAGUCCACUGGCUCCAAGGUCAGCACAGCACCAGGACUUGCCUAGGAAUUGCAGUCCUUGUGGCCAGGACUGCCUUUCAAGUUUAUUUAGGACCCCAGAGUGCUUUAGCACACACUGGUGGUACUGGCCAGAACUCAGAUUCUUACUACUGGGAUAGAUUAUUUUCCUCUGGCUAGGGCUGUUAUAAAAAUUCCUUCCUUGGGCCCCAGCUGAUUUCUGCCCUGUGUCGCUCUCCACCAUGACUGGCAGGAUUGAGUUUCAGCAUAAAGUCCUACAAUCACUGUGUUCUCCCUUCCCCAAGCAAACAGAUUCUCUCUCCAUGCCGUACAGCUGCUGCCCAGGGGAUUGAGGAGUGUAGUGUAGGCAACUCAAAACUGUCUUUCCUGCCCUCUUCAGUGCCCUUGUUCUCAAUAUAUUAAAACCAGAUAUUUUGGUUCUUAUGAAGGUGUUUUCUUGUGUAGAUAGUUGUUCGGUUUGGUGUUCCUGCAGGGAAGAUGAUUAUUGGUUCUAUUUGGUCAUCUUGCUCUGCCUCCUCCUACUUCAUUGAUUAUUUUCCUGACGUUUAUUUCACCUUUGUUUUCAAAAGAUGUUUUAGUAUGGCAGAGAGUUCUGGGUUGACAGUAUUUUACUUUCAGCACUUUUAAGAUGUUCUGCUGUUUAUGAGUUUCCAUUGAUUUUGUGAGAAAUCUGUCAUUAUAUGUUCCUUGGUCCAUAAUGCCUUUCUCCCAGCUUCUUUUAAUAUUUUUUUUGGUUUAUCCUUAGUUUUAAUGAAUUUGAUUAUGAAUUGUCUUUUGGUAGCUUUCUUUGUGUUUCUUCUUUUUGGGGGUUCCUUGAGGUUCUUAGUUCCAUGGGUUUAUAGUUUUCAGUGAAUUUGGAAAAAAUUCUGCAAUUAUUUUACUUUUUUCUGUCACCCCCUCUCUUAAUUUGGGGAUUCCAGUGAAACGUUAAUUAGGUUGCUGAAAUUGCUGCACAGCUCAGUGAUACGCUUUUUUGAGAGGUCUGUUUUCUCUUUGUUUCAUUUUAGAUAGUUGCUAUUGCUUUGUCUUCACAUUCUUUAACAGUUUUUUCUUCUUUAUUGUAUCAUCUCUUAAUUCUAUCAAAUGUGGUUCUUAUCUCAGUCAUUAUAGUUUGCAUCUUAUAGAAAUUUGACUUGGGUCUUUUGUGUCCACACACAUAUACUCCAUGCCUCUUCUUCACGUGUUCAACCUUUCUUUCUUCUUUUUUUUUGAGACAGAUUUCAGGGUCAUAGUGAUCUCAGCUCACUAUGACCUCUGCCUCCCAAGGUCAAGCCAUUCUCCCACCUCAGCUUCCUGAGUAGCCUGGACUACAGGUGUGUACCACCACACCUGGUUAAUUUUUGUAUUUGUUAUAGAGACAGGGGCCUUGUUGCUCAGGCUGGUCUUGAACUCCUGAGUACAAGCAGGUCACCUGCUUUGGCCUCCCAAAGUGCUAGGAUUAUAGGCAUGAGCCACUGUGCCUGUCCACAUAAUCUUUCUUACAGCUUCUUGAACAUAUAAAAGUUAGUGAUAAUGGAUUUUGUGCCUUGCCUGCUAAUUCAGUCAUCAUUAUAAUUUUGGGGUUUGUUUCAAUUGAUUGACUUCUCUCCUUUUUAUAGAUUAUAUUUUCCUUUUUUUCAUGACUAAUUUUUUUUUUUUUUUGAGACAGACUCGCACUCUGUCACCAGGCUGGAGUGCAGUGACAUGAUCUUGGCUCACUACAGCCUCCACCUCCUAGGAUCAAGCAAUUCUCCUGCUGCAGCCUCCUGAGUAGCUGGGAUUACAGUUGCCCACCACCACGCUCAGCUAAUUUUUGUAUUUUUAGUAGAGAUGGGGGUUUCACCAUUUUGGCUAGGCUGAUCUUAAACUCCUGACCUCAAGUGAUCCACCCACCUCGACCUCCCCAAAGUACUGGGAUUACAGGUGUGAGUCACCACGCUCGGCCAGCAUGUUUCAAUUGAAUGCUAGAUAUGGUGAAUUUUGUUUACUGGUUCCUGAUAUUUUCAUAUUUUAAUAAAUAUUUUAGACCUUUUUUCUUGGAUGCAAGUUAAGUUACUUGGAAAUAGCCUGUUUCAGAUUUUGCUUUUAACUUUGUUAGGUGAGACUAGAGGAGUUUCUAAAAUUAAUUUUUUUCCCAUUAGUGAGGCAGAAAUUCUUCUGAAUACCAUAUCUGAUGAUCCAUUAAUAAUAAAGUUUUCAAGUUAGUUUCCUCUAAUUGUUUUGGGUGAAGUUUUCCCUACCUUCCAUAGUUUCCUCACACAUGUGCACCAAUCAGUACUCAACUGAAUACUCAGUGAUGAUCUUUUGCAUAUAUAAGUUUUCUCUCUGUGUAUCUCUCUCCUCUUGUGUGCUGCCUUGUGAAAUUCAGCCACGUUAGUCUUUGUGAACUCCUAGAUACAUUUCCUAGAGUUAGGGAGGCCACUGGGCUGCCCCUAGAUUUAUCUUCCCUUUGCUAUGGCCUGGACCCUUUACCUGGACAGUGAGCCGAGUUCAUUGUCGGGCUCUCACCUAGUUUGUUUUUCAUCUCAUGAUUUCUGGUUUCUUCAGCAAUGUGUUUUAUAUUUUGUUUGGGUUUAAUGUUGCUUUAGAUGAUUGGGAAAAUUUAGUAUCCUUUAUGUUCCUUUAUGUUUUGGUUAGAAAACAACUCAAUAUAGUAUUUUAGUAGAAAAAAGGCAUGAAAAGAAAACUACUUUUAAAGUUCUUGCUUCUUUUUAUUGAAACAUAUUUUUACUAGGCUCAUUGAAGGGAACAGUUAUACUUAAAUUUAUUUAUAACAUCUGUCCUUAUGUAAUUUUUAGAGCUACUAACAAAAUACUGGAGAAAAUGGCAACUAUUGAUGUUACUGGUACUCUUCUGUUCCAGUGAAAGCUUGAUACUGCUAAGUGAGUGAUACAAACAGGUUAAUCCAUUACUCCUCCUAAAUCUCUGAAGUCUGAAUCAACUGGUAGAGGAAAUCUCCUGUGAUGUGCUGUGCUCUUCAUAUAUAAAUUUGAUGUUACUUUGCUGACUGCUAAUAUUACAGAUGUUUUUCAAGUCAAAUUAAAACAUUUGAUUAUAUUCUGCAGCAAGUUAUUUAAAUUUUCUGUGUUUCAAAUAACAUCUCAUUUCAUUUCAUAGAAUGGUGAAAACAUCUGUUUACGUAAUUACAGUUUGCUGUUGUCAAACUGAUACAGAAUUUGCCUUAGUCUUUGAGUUUAUUCUUCCUGCUAAAAUGCAAACAAGGCUAAUAGAUUUCACAGUUGUAUUUGUUAAAAAUCUUGAUAUAGCAGUUUUCGUUGUUAUUGAUAUCAAAGACGUUAAGUGGGAUUAGUCAGCUAUAUCCAUUAUUUGUGAACUUGAAAGAUAAGAAAGUAGUUGGACUCUGCAGAGUAUCGUUUUAGCUAUCAGUUUCUGCUUCUCCUUUUAUCAAGACUUUAAAAAAUGCAACAGUUUUAAUAUAGAGAGACAUUGAUUAUUUAAGUUAAUUUUUCCACUUCAAACUGAAAGUUGUUAUUAAUUGAACAGGCAGGCAUCCAAAGACAAACAUCUAACUUGUUUGUUUCUGUGUUGCUCUGUUCGGAUGUGUAGUUCAUGAUGAGAGACUCUUAUCUGUUUUAUUUCCCGGAGGAUACCCAAUAUCUAGAAAGUUUUUGGCACAUAGUAAGUAUUAACCACAUUUUUGAUGACGAGUCAGUGAAUAAGUGAAUGAACAAUUAAGCUUCUGAGUCUUUUCCUGUCUUGGAAAUCUCAUCAAUCUUUCAAGGCUCAGUUCAUGAAGUGGUUUUUGAAUGAAAAUUUCUUCAACUACUUCAGUUCAUUAUAAUCUUUUUUUUUUUUUUUGAGACAGAGUCUUGCUCUGUUGCCCAUAAUGGAGUGAAGUGGUACAAUCUUGGGUCACUGCAACUUCCACCUCCUGGGUUCAAGCAAUUCUCCUGCCUCAGCCUCCCAAGUAGCUGGGAUUACUGGCACCUGACACCAUGCCUGGCUAAUCUUUUGUAUUUUUAGUAGAGACGGCAUUUCAUCAUGUUGGCCAGGCUGGUCUCGAACUCCUGAUCUCAGUAAUCCACCUGCCUCCGCCUCCCAAAGUGUUGGGAUUACAGGCAUGAGCCGCUGCACCCAGCCCAUUAUGAUCUUUUCUUUGAACUCUUGGUCUUUUCAUGUAAUUUUAAGAUAAAAUUUACCAACAAAUACAGCUGCACACAAUUGGACCAGACUGCAAGAAGGGCACAUUCUAUUACUGGAAGUGCUUAAGGAGUGGCAGGAUGGCCUUGUCAAUAAAAAGGAGGGAAGUGAGAUACAGUGUUCUUAACUUUGUGCUAGGUACUUAAUGUAUUUGACUCCCUUUAAUUUCAAAGGCCCGGACCCUACAAGGUAGAUCAACUUUACUUAUUUUUUUUUAGUGUGGAAACUGAGGUUUAGAGAGGCCUAUAAAAUUUGUCUACAGUUCCAUAGCCAUAAACAUCUCAUUGAUAAACCAAGGUUGUUUUUUGUGGGAGAGCUGUUACACUGCCUUCAGUAGGUAACUACUUCAUGAAAUCAAAGUCCAUUAUGAUUGUGUGAAGUAUGACAGUUUGGCAUUUCUACCAAGAAACGAAGGCUUGAAGUGGGCAGAAUGACAGCACUUGGUGGUUAGGAAAAGAAAGUUUUGGAUAAUGGGAUAAUUAGAAACACCAAAAGGGACAGAGAGGUACUGAACUCCAUCUUUCUGUUCAUGUUUUGGCCUCAUGGUAUGUAAGGAUUUUUGACAAUGAAGUUGGUGGAUCCUAUUUUGAUUUUUAAAAGAAACAUUUAUUGUUGGGGUUUAUUGCUCUGGUUUUUCUUUUACAUGAUACAAGUGAUAUUAUUUAAAAAUGAAAUUAAGGCUGGGCGCGGAGGCUCACGCCUGUAAUCCCAGCGCUUUGGGAGGCCAAGGUGGGUGGAUUGCGAGGUCAAGAGAUCGAGACUAUCCUGGUCAACAUGGUGAAACCCCGUCUCAACUAAAAAUACAAACAAUUAGCUGGGCAUGGUGGCACGUGCCUGUAAUCCCAGCUACUCAGGAGGCUGAGAGGCAGGAGAAUUGCCUGAACCCAGGAGGCGGAGGUCGUGGUGAGCCAAGAUCACGCCAUUGCACUCCAGCCUGGGUAACAAGAGCGAAACUCCGUCUCAAAAAAAAAAAAAAGAAAUGAAAAAAUCUUUUAAAUAUUAAGACAAUCUCCAGAGGUUGAUAGCCACGAUGAUUAAUUAGAAUCUAUUAUAAAUUAAGAAUCAUUACUUAUCAAGGGCUUACCUUGUGUCAUAUGCUGUGUUUUAUGUACAUUAUCUCAUUUAAUAUUUUCCACAACCAUUAUUGUCAAGUUUCUGUUUUCAGCACCAUUUCACAAAUAGGAAACUAAAAACUAGUAGAGUUACCAGUGGUUUGAAACUUUUUUUGUCUCUAGACACAUUGAGAAAAAAACAUUUUAUGUGAUAACUUAGUAUGUACAUACAUGCAUACAUACAUAUAAUUGAAAUGUGUUUCUUGAAUAUUUAUUUUACUAUAAUUUUGCACUGUUUUGUACUGUUAAUGUUUACCCAAGAAUAGAUAUGACAUAGGAGUCAUUAUCUGCAGUUUGAAAAACUCUGCUCUUGACAGCUAUAUUAUAUUCGCUUCCUAAUUUUGUACAGUAACAAGCCACUUUUGAUUUCCAUUCUCGUGCCUGCUUUAUUGUAAAUAUUCUGUCAAAAGAAACAAAAAAACUAAGUCUUAACAGUAAAGAUAAGUCCUUUCUCCCAACUAGAUUUUUAUCUUAAGUUAAAGCCAAUCAACUAAUUUCUUGUUUUUAGUGAUGAUUAUGUUUAUUAAUAAUGCAUUGUUUUGAAUUUGCCUUUUUUCAUGGUUUCGUGUGGAAAAGACAUACUAUAGUCAACUGGCAUAUUUUUAUCUGACUGCUCUGUGGAUGAUCUGGUAAACAAUCGGGAUCUGUUACAUAGGUUAAAGAGGUAAAGUGGGUUCGUAAUAUUUUUAUUUUUUUGGCAGAUUUUCUCUCUACUUUUCUGUACAUUUAAAAUAUUUUCAUAAUUAAAAAAUUUUAAUAAUCGCAUAUAACCAUUUGUAUUUAAUAAAUGCCUUUAAACAAAUGAAAAAAUAUAUUAAACUUUUGUUGUACCACCAGAUGGCGCCCUCUAUUAAUCCAAAUUAAGACGCCCACACCAUUUUCUGAAUUAUUUUGUGUUGCAUGUAUUGAUAGAUUUUUGGCGUGAAUGGUCAAAUAAUGGGAUCUAGAAUUCACGAGUAAAAGAGGAAAUAGAGUAAAUGAGUUGCUAAUGUACAGGCCCAGGGUAUAUGGAAUAAACCAGUGUUUAAUAUAGUUUCUGGAAUUUAAUCAUUAGUCAGAAUAAUGUUAGAGUAAAAUUUAGGAUUAGGAAUACAGCUGUUUUGCAUUUUUCCACGACUGUCUCUCUUUCCUUAUAUGGGGUUUUUCUUUGAUCUUAACAAUCGUUUUUGUUUAUCCGCCACUUUUGACAUAAAUGGUUUCUUUGGUUACAAGUUUUUAUACUGUCUAUUAGAGUAACAUUAUUCCAAUUUUGUUGUACUGGAAUUUGAAUUCAUGAGAUUUUUGUCAUAUUUUCAUCACAUAAGCAUGGAACAUAUGAGCUUGAUUUGUUUAACAAAAUGAAUAAACAUCUCUGAAUGUAUUUGGCUAUGUCCAUUCUUUCUCUUUUCAUAAAUGUGAUUUAUUAUUUCAGUAAUAAAGGAUGUUGAUCUUAAAUUGGUAAUCCUAAAUACAACUUUUAUAUUAUCCUCAUCAACUUUUCUUUUUGUUUAGCUAAAAGGAAUGAUAGGCAAAAUUGAUUGUGUUUAAAGUCAGUCCUGAAAGCUAUUGAGAGCAUGAUCUAUUAAGUAACAUAACAGUAAAGGCCUUUUACUGUUGCCUUUGUGAAAAGAAAACUAAACACUUGUUUUCAAUUUCAAGCUAUUUUGACAUUUAAAAAAGCUUUAAAAUAGGCAUCCGAAACCUAACACUGUUAACGUAACACAUUUUAAAAUUUAUUUUUAUUUAUUUUUGAGAUAUAAUCUCACUCUGUCAUGUAGGCUAGAGUGCAGUGGCGUGAUCUCGGCUCGCUGCAACCUCCGCCUCCUGGGUUUAAGUGAUUCUUCUGCCUCAGCCUUGCCAGUGGCUGGGACUAUAGGUGCGCACCACCACACUCUGCUAGCGUUCGUGUUUUUAGUAGAGACAGGGUUUUACCAUGUUGGUCAGGCUGUAAAAUUUAAUUUUAUUGGAUGUAUUUAAGCUGUACAAUAUGAUAUUUUGAUAUGCAUAUAUAGUGAAAUGAUUUCUACAGUCAAACAAAUUAAAAUAUCCAUCACUUUCCACAGUCACCUUUUUGGUUUAGCACGAUAGGAGUUCCUGAAGUCUACUUUUUCAGCAGAUUUUCAGUAUAAUACAGUGUUAGUAACUAUAGUCCUUACGCUGAACAUUACAUCUCUAGAUUUAGCCAUCCUACAUAGCUAUAAAUUUGUACCCUUUGACCUUCUUCUCCCUGUUUGCUCUCCUUUUCUGCCCCUGGUAACCAUCAUUCUACUCUGUUUUUGUUUAUUCUUUGUUUCUAUUUACUUUUCCCCCUAGAUUUCACAUAUAUGUGAGAUUGUACAAUAUUUUUCUUUGUAUAUCUGGCUUAUUUUGCUAAGCAUAAUGUCUCCCAGAUUCAUCCCUGUUGUAAGUGAUGGGUUCUCCCUUUUUCCCCCAAGGCUGAAUAUUUCAUUGUAUAUAUUGCACCAAAUUUCUUUAUUUCUUCAUCUGUUGAUGGACAAACACUUAGGUCAUUUCCAUCUUAACUAUUGUGAAAAAAUGCUGCAGUAAACAUGGAAGUACAGAUAUCUCUUAUGCAAUGCUGAUUUCAUUUCCUUUAGGGAAAUCAGGGGAAUUACUAGGUUUGUGGUAGUUUGGUUUUUAAAUUUUUGAAAAAUUUGCAUACUGUUUUCCAUAAUAACUGUACCAAUUUACAUUCCUACCAGUUGUAUACAAGGGUUUCAUUUUCUCUACACCUAACACUUGUUAUCUCUUGUCUUCUUGAUAAUAGCCUUCUUAACAGGUGUGAAAUGAUAUUACACAGUGAUUUCGAUUUGCAUUUAAUUGAUGACUAAUGAUGUUGAGUACCUUUUGGUGUAUAUGUUGGCCAUUUUUAUGCCUUCUUUGGAAAAAUGUCUAUUCAGGUCCUUUGCCCAUUUUUAAAUAAGUGGUUUUUUGGUUUUGUUUUAUGAUAGUAAGUUUAAAGAAAUUUUUAGAUGUUAACUUCUUAACAAAGACAUGGUUUCCAGAUAUUUUGUCCCAAUCUGUAGGAUGCCUUUUCAUUUUGUUGAUUGUUUCCUUUGCAUUGCAGAAGCUUUUUAGUUUGAUGUAGUCACACUUGUUUAUUUUUGCUUUUGUGGCUUGAGCUUUGCUGUGAUACCUAGAAAAUCAUUGUCAAGUCCAGUAUGAAGGAGCUUUUCCCUAUAUUUUCUUCUAAGGAGGAUUUUUUUCUUUGUGUGUGUGUGUGGUGUAAGAUAAAGGCCCAGUUUCAUUCUUUUGCGUUGGAUAUUUAGUUUUCCCAACCCCAUUUAUUGAAGAGACUGUACUCCCAUUGUGUCUUCUUGGUGGGCUUGUCAGGAAUUACUUGACCAUAUAUGCUUGGAUUUAUUUCUCUCUUUCUAUGCUAUUUUAUUAGCCUGUGUCUAUUUUUAUGCCCAUAUUAUGUCUAUGCCAUAUUGUUUUGAUUGCUAUAGCUUGAUAAUACUUUUUUGGGGCGGGGAGACAGGCUUUUGCUCUGUCACCCAUAGUGGAAUGCAUUAAUACGAUCACUGCUCAUUGUAGCCUUGUCAUUCCAGCUCUGGUGACCCUCCCACCUGAGCCUGGGACUACAGGUAUGUGCCACCAUGCCUGGCCAAUUUUUAAAUUUUUUUUGUAGAGACAGGUCUGUAUUGCCUAGGCUGGUCUCAAGCUCCUGGGCACAAGUAAUCUUCCUGCCUCAGUUUCCCAAAGUGUUGGGAUUACAGGUAUGAGCCACUGCACCCAGUGUAUAAUAUGAUUUGAAAUCAAGAAGUGUGAUGUCUCCAAUCUUAUUUUUCUUUCUUUAGAUUGUUUUGGCUACUUGGGACUUUUUGUGGUUUCAUACAAAUUUUAUAGUUUUUUUUCUAUUUCUGAGAAAAAUGUCAUUGGAAUUACAUUGAAUUUGUUUGUAUAUUUUAGAUAGCAUGGUCAUUUUAACAAAUAAUUCUUCUAAUUCAUGAACACAGGUUAUCUUUCCAUGUAUUUGUGUCUUCAAUUUUUUUUAUCAAUGUUUUAUAGUUUUCAGUAUACUGAUGUUUCAUCCCCUAGUGAAGUUUAUUCCUAACUUCAGUCAUUCAUCGCUUAACGAUGGGGAUACAUUCUGAGAAAUGUGUCAUUGGGUGAUUUCAUCAUUGUGGGAACCUCAUAGAGUCUACUUACACAAACCAGCUGUCUUCACAUCUAUACCGUUGUAGUAUAGCCUAUUGCUCCUAGGUGACAAACCUGUUCAGCAUAUUACUGUACUGAAUACUGUAGGCAGUUGUAGCACAUAGUAUUUAUAUAUCAAAACAACUAAACAUGGAAAAGGUGCAGUAAAAAUCGCUACAAGAGAUAAAAAACAGUACACAUAUAUAGGGCACUUACCAUGAAUGGAGCUUGCAAGAUUGGCACUUGCUCUGAAUAAGUAAUUGAGUGAAUGUGACGGUGUAAGACGUUACUGUAGGUUUUGUAAACACUGUAUACUUAGGCUACAAUAAAUCUAUAUUAAAAAACUUCUUGAUUAAUUUUAACUUACUGUAACUUUUUACUUAAAAACUUUAAAUUUUGUUUACACUUCUUGACUCUUUUGUAAUAACAAGAGUUAGAUACAGACACAUAUAGCUAUACAAAAAAUUUUCUAUAUAUUCUUACUAUUAGCUUUUUUCUAUUAUUAUUGCUUUUUUUACUUUUAAAACUUUUUUGUUCAAAAGUAGACACAAACACAUAUUAGCCUAGGCCUCCACAGGAUCAGGAUUCUCUUAUCCCAUGGAAGGUCUUCAAGGGCAGUAACAUACAUGGAGCUGUAAUUUCCUAUAAUAAUAAUGCCAUCUUCUGGAAUAUUUCCUGAAGGGCCCAUCUGAGGCUAUUUUACAGUUAACUUUUUUCAAUAAGUAGAAGGGCUGGGGACGGUGACUCAUACCGGUAAUCGCAGCACUUAGGGAGGCUGAGGUGGGCGGAUCAUGAGGUCGGGAGUUCAAGACCAGCCUGACCAACAUAGUGAAACCCCAUCUCUACUAAAAAUAUAAAAAUUAACCAGGCUUAGUGGCAUCUGCCUGUAAUUCCAGCUACUCAGGAGGCUGAGGCAGGAGAAUGGCUUGAACCUAGGAGGCAGAGGUUGCAGUGAGCUGAGAUCGCACCACUUCACUCCAACCUGGGCAACAGAGUGAGACUGUGUCUCCAAAAAAAAAAAAAAAAAAAAAGAGUAGAAGGAGGACAUUCUAAAAUAACAGUGAAAAGUAUAGUGUAAGUAAAUACAUAAACCAAUACCAUAGUCAUUUAUUAUCAAGCAUUAUAUACUGUACAUAGUUGUUUGUGCUGUACUUUUAUUCAAUUCACAGUGCAGUAGGUUUAUUUACACCAGCAUUACUACAGACAUUAGUAAUAUGUUGUACUACUAUGUCACAAUGAUUACGAUGUCUCUAGACAAUAGGAAUUUUUAAUUUUCAUAAUUUCAUGAACCACCAUUGUAACUGUGGUCUGUCAUUGAAUGAAAUGUCAUUGUGCAGAACUUGACUGUAUUUUAUUAUUUUUGUUGUGUUUUCUCUUUCAGAUCAAUCACUAUUAGUAUAAAUAAAUGCAGCUGAUUUUUAUAUGUUGAUGUUGUGUUCUACUACUUUAAUGAAUUCAUUUACUAGCUUUAAUUUUUUUUUUUUUGAGACAGAAUUUCACUCUUGUCACCCAGGCUGGAGUGCAAUGGUGCAAUCUUGCCUCACUGCAACCUCUGCCUCCCGGGUUCAAGUGAUUCUUCUGCCUCGGGCUCCUGAGUAGCUGGGAUUAUAGGCACCUGCCACCAUGCCUAGCUAAUUUUUGUAUUUUUAGUAGAGAUGGGGUUUCACCAUGUUGGCCAGGCUGGUCUUGAACUUCUGUUCUUGUUCUAGCUCCUUGAGUUGUAUAGUUAGGUUGUUUAUUUUGAGAUAUUUAAAUGUAGACAUUUAUCACAACAAAUCUCCUCUUAUUACUGCUUUUGCUGUAUCACAUAAGUUUUGGUUUGUUCUAGUUUUGUUUUUGUUCAUCCUGAGAUAUUUAAAAAAUUCUCUUUUGAUGUACUCUUUGGCCUAGUGGGUUGUUCAAGAAUGCAUUAUUUAUAUAGUAUUUGCACAUUUUCUCAUGUUCUUGUUGUUAUCUAGUUCAGUUCUAUUGUUGUUGGACAAGGUACUUGAUAAUAUUAUUUUGAAUGUCUUAAAUUUGUUAAGACUUGUUUUGUGACCUGAUGUGAUCUGUCCUGGAGAAUAGUCCAUAUAUACUUGAAAAGAAUGUGUAUUCUGCUGUUGAGUAGAAAGUUCUGUAUAGGCUUGUCAAGUUUAUUUGAACAGUGUUGUUCAAGCCCCCUGUUUCUUUAUUAAUUUUUUUGUCUGGGUUUCCUUUUUAUUAUUGAAAAUGGGGUACUGAAUCUCCUACUAUUGUGUUGCUAUCAGUUUCUUCUUUCAGCUCUGUCAGUAGUUGCUUUAUAUGUGCUUGAGUGCUCUGAUGUUGGGUGCAUAUUUGUUUACAAUUGUUAUUAUCUUCUUGUUGAAUUGAUCCUUUUGUCAUUGUUUAAUGAUUUUUUUUUUUUUUUGUCUCUAGAGAAAGUUUUUGACUUAUAGUGUACUUUGAUGUAAGUAUAGCCACUCUUUUAGGUACCAUUUAAAUGGACUAUUCUUUUCUGUUCCUUCACUAUGAAUCUAAAGUUAGUUUCUUGUGGACAACGUGUAGUUGGAUUUUUUUAAAAAAUUUAAAAAUUCAUUUAGCUACUCUAUCUUUUUAUUGGAAAGUUUAGUCCAUUUACAUUUAAAGUAAUUAUUGACAAGGAAAGAUUUACUGUUUUGUUAACUGUUUUCUGUUUUUUAGUUGAUUUUUUCCCUGCUUUUUCUCUCUUGUUGUCUUGUCUCAUUGCUUUUUCAUAAUGCUAUGAUUCUUUGUGUAACUUCUGUAGGGUUUUUUUUUUUUGUAGUUACCAGAAGGCUUACAUAAAAUAUCUAUUACUAUUAUUAUUUUUUAGUAGAGACAGGAUUUCAUCAUGUAGGCCAGGAUGAUCUUGAUCUCCUGACUCGUGAUUUGCCCACCUUGGCCUCCCAGAGUGCUGGGAUUACAGGCGUGAGCCUCUGUGCCCUGCCAUAAAAUAUCUUAAAAUUAUCUGUGUUAAGCUGAUAACAGCUUAACUUCUUUUCCACAUAGGAGAUCUGAUUUUUACCUUUCUUACCCUCAAAUUUUAUGUUAUUGAUUUCACAAUUUAGAUGUAUGUGUAUUCUGUAUUUAUUAGAUAAUUUAGAGUUGUUUUUAGUACUUUUGUCUUUUAGGUUUUAUACUAGAAUUAUAAUUAACUUCACACCACUGUUAUAGUAAUAAAAUAUUCUCUCUUUUUUUUUGCCUGUAUAUUUAACUUUGCCAACAAGUUUUAUAUAUUUUUUUGGUAUAAAAUACCAAAAACAUACAUGUUGUUGUUUAGCAUCUUUUCAUUUCCACUUGAAGAAAUACCUUUAGCAUGCUUGCAGGGCAGGUAUAGCGGUGAGAAAGUACCUUGGCUUUUAUUAGUCUGAGAGCACCUUUAUCUCCCCCUCAGCUUUAUAAGACAGGAUUGCUGGGUAUAGUAUUCUUGGCUGGCAAUUUUUUUUUUCUUUCAGCACUUUGUAUAUAUCAUUUUGCUCCCUUCAGUCUCCAAGGUAUCUGUUGAAAAAUCUAAUAAGAUAUAGAGAUUCCCCUGUACUUAGCAAGUUGCUUCUUUCUUGCUGCUUUCAAAAUCCUCUCUGUGUUGCUCAGGGUGGAGUACAGUGGUGCAAUCAUGGCUCACCAUGUAGCCUUGACCUCCCUAGUCUCAGGACUUCCUGCCUCAGCCCCCCCAGUAGCUGGGUCCACAAGCACAUGCCAGUAUGCCUGGCUAAUUUUGUAUUUUUUGUAGAGAUAGGGUUUUUCCAUGUUUCCCAGGCUAGUCUCAAACUUCUGCGCUUAAUCCACUUGUCUUGGCCUCCCAAAGUGCUGGGAUUAUGAGCAUGAGCCACCACGCCUGGCUUGUGUGGAUUUCUUUGGAUUAAUUCUAUUUGGUGUCAUUUGGGCUUCCUGAAUCUGGAUUUGUAUUUUCUUUCCCAUGCCUGGGAAGUUUUCAGCCAUUAUGUCUUUGAAUGUGUUUUUAGCCCCUUUCUCUCUCUCUCCUGCAACUCUGAUAAUGCCUAUAUUGUGAAGGCUUCAUGUAAGUCCCUUAAGUCAGCAGUCCCCAACCUUUUUGGAACCAGGGACCGGUUUUGUGGAAGACAGUUUUUCUGUGGAGUAGGGUUGCUGGGGGGAAGUAGAUGGUUUGGGGAUGAUUCAAGCGCAUUACAUUUAUUGUACACUUUAUUUCUAUUUGAUUUUACUUUUUAUUUCUUUAGGUUUUGGGGGAACAAGUGAUAUUUGAUUACAUGAGUUAGUUCUUUAGUGGUGAUUUGUAAGAUUUUGGUGUACUGUCAUCACUCAAGCAGUAUACACUAAACCCAAUGGCAGUCUUUUAUCCCUCAUCCCCUUCCCACCCUUCCCUCUCCUUAGAGUCUGUUGUAACCUUCUUAUGCCUUUGCAUCAUAGCUUAGCUCCCACUUAUGAGUGAGAACAUAAUGAUGUUUGGUUUUCCAUUCCUGAGUUACUUCACUUAGAAUGAUGGUUUCCAGUUGCUGUGAAUGCCAUUAAUUCAUUCCUUUCUAUUACUCAGUAAUAUUCUAUCAUACGUAUGUAUGUCACAGUUUCUUUAUCUGCUUAUUGAUUGAUGGGCAUUUGAUCCACAUUUUUGCAGUUGCCAGUUGUGCUGCUAUAAACAUGCAUUGUAUUGUGCACUUUAUUUCUAUUAUUAUUACAUACUCAUGAUAAUGUAGAAUCAGUGGGAGCCCUGAGCUUGUUUUUCUGCAACUAUAUGGUCCCAUCUGAAGGUGAUGGGAGACAGUGACAGGCAUUAGAUUCUCAUAAGGAGCAUGCACCCUGGAUCCCUUCCAUGUGCAGUUCACAACAGAUUAUAUGCUUUUAUGAGAAUCUGAUGCCACUGCUGAUCUGAGAGGUGGAGCUCAGCUUUGCUCACUCACCCACCAUUCAGCUUCGGCUGUGCAGCUUUGUUCCUAAUAGACCGCAGACCAGUAUCAUUAUUGGUCUGUGGCCCUGCCUUAAGCUGUCUUCACUCUUUUUUAUUCUUUUCUACUUUUGCUUUUCAGAUUGGAUGAUUUCUGGUGACCUGUCUUAGAGUUUACUGGUCUUUUCUUCUGCUUUAUCUAGUCUGUUAUCGGACCUGUCAUUGGACUUUUUGGUUCAGCUAUUAUAUUUUUCAUUUGUAUAAUUUGUUUGGUGCUUUCAAAAUAUAUUCUGUCACUUUGUUGAAGUUUUCAGUUUGUUUAUGCAUUGCUUUGUUGAGCUCAGUGAUCAUCUUUAUGACCAUUUAAAAAAAUUCUUUGUUGGGCAAAUUGCAUAUCAUCAUUGAGGGUCAGUUUCUGAAAAUUUAUAUUGUUCUUUCAUUUGGAACAUAUUUCUGUUUCUUUAUUUCCCUUGCUCUUGGUUUUGGCUUUUGUGCAUUAGAUAAGACUACUGCCUCUACUAGUCUUGUGAGACUGGUAUUGUGUAGGAGAUGAUUCUUUCUUAUCAGUUAGGCCAGCCAGAGUUUCUAGGUACCUCUAAAAUCUUUUUGUUUGUCCAAACUACAGUCUUUGUUGUUUCUUACAGGUCUCCAGGAAUUAGGGUGUGUCAAGUUCUGCCAGAUGAGUUAGAAGCCAGUUUCUUGAGAUGCAGGUGGGAAGGUGGGUGUGUAUGUGUGUUGCAGUUCAUUCUGUCUUUAGGGAGAAGCUGAGAGCCAGAGCUUAUCUCCCAUUCAUUCCACACUAAGCUGGAGAGAGGAUCUGUGGCACAUGCUUGCACACUUAUUUAGGCUGCACUGUCUCUCCAUUGUCUGUGCAGUUCAGGAAAGCUCAAGAAUACAAUACCCUGUUGCUCUUAGAGCUAGGUGAUUUCAGAGCCAAAUCCUCUAAGAGAACUGCAGAAGUUGGAUCACUAUAUGCAUGGUCCAACCCUUCACCUCUCAAGUAGAAUCUGGGUGUCGGGGAUUCCUUCAUGAUUGUUUGGCACAGUGCCCAGGAAGGGGUUUGUGUGCAAGUGUGUCUAAACUUUUUCUACGUGUUUGAAUGUGGAUGUUUUCUGAGUUGCCCAUGUGUAGAUUGUCAGCCAGUUUCUGGCUUUCUCUCAGAGGAAAUUGAUCUGUAUAUAGAUGUUUAUUCAGUGCUUCUGUGGGAGGAAAUAAAGCCAGGGGCUUCCUUUUCCAUCAUCUUGCUGAUAUCACUGCUAACACAUUUACAGAUCACAUUUCUAGGUGAUUUUGUUUCUGGCUGCCAUUCAAAUAGAACCAGGAGUAUUUUUUAAAAAUAUAUUAUACCAGCAUGGCCCCUUUAAGAAUUGGUUCUCAUUUUUCCUUGGCAUAUUCUCUUUCAAGAUUAAAUACUUAAGGAUGAGAAAAUAAUAUAUUGAAUUUCAGGAAGUUUAUAUUAUAUAUCUAUUUUAUUGCUGUUCACUGAGAAAGGAAAAAGUUAUAUGAAUUGUCACUUGUGGAUUUUCACAGAGCAGAUUUUGUAGGAGCAAUGACUAAAAUAAAAUGACUAUUUUAUUAUUAUUCCCUCCUCCCCACAAGCUCCACAAACUUCCCUUCUAAUUUUUUUUUGGUGUUUUCUUUUUCCCUUUCCGACUUAAAAAAUUUUAUUGUUUACUGGUAACCAGGCAUGCAUGCAUGUGUACUUAGGCAUAUAAAAUUAAAUUUUAACUGAUGGGUAAUGAAUUUGAGAAGCAGUGUUUGGAACCAGGAGGCCGUUCAGGAGGACACUGAAGCUAAUGAGAUCCUGAACUGGGGCAGAGUCAUGGAUUUGAAAAGAGAAGAUAAAAUAAGCAGGACAUUUGCUUGAUUAAAUGGUUAAGGAUAAUGAAAGAAAGAGAGGAGCAAGUAUGACUUUCUUUCUCCCCUUACAUCACCAACUGAGUUGGGGGAGUGUGGAAAAGCAAUGUUGGAGGGAGGAGGAGAGAGGGAAGGGCUGAAUGGAGAAAUGAAUUUCAUCUUGGAUAUGUUUAAUUGGCAUUAUCCCAAUUGGUUAUAAGAAUGUAAUGGUUGGGGCCAGGCGCAGUGGCUCAUGCCUGUAAUUCCAGUGCUUUGGGAGGCUGAGGCAGGAGAAUCAUGAGGUCAGGAGUUUGAGACCAACCUGGCCCACAUGAUGAAACCCCAUCUCUACUAAAAAUACAAAAAAUUACCCGGGCGUGGUGGCAGGUAUCUGUAAUCACAGGUACUUGGGUGGCUGAGGCAGAAUUGCUUGAACCAGAAGGUGGAGGUUGCAGUGAGCCGAGAUUGUGCCACUGCACUCCAGCCCUAACGACAGUGCAAAGCUUCAUCUUGUCACUUUAUAAAUUAUUUAUAAAUAAAUAAAUAAAAGAAUGUGAUGCUUGGAGAAGGGAUGAAGGCUAGAGAUAUGACACAUUUUCUUAUUUUAAAAAGUCCUUUCUUGUUUUUCUCAUCUUAAAAAUAAUAGUGUGUAUUUUUAAUGUGUGAUUUCCCCUUAAAAACAAUUAUUAUAAACAUUUAAAAAAACAAUUUUAUAACAUAUAAUCAAUGGAAUUCUAUGACUAAGGAAAUGUAGAUUUUUUGGAGUUAAAGGUUUGAUAUCUUACGGACUUUUAGUAGUAGAUGAAAUUAGCAAGGAAAAGUAUGGGGAUACAGAGAAAAGGACUUGUUCUAUGAAAAUGAUUUGUAGUUAUAGAGUGCUUUCAUUAUAUGUAUUUUGUUUUUUGAUGUUCAUAGCAGUUAUCUGAAUAUGGAAAAUGGUGGUAUUUGUAUUUUCUUUCUUUUUAAAAUUUAUUUAUUUUACUUUAGGUGCAUACUAUAUCUGGCAUUUCUCCCCAUGUUAUUCCUCCCCACCCUCCUCAUCCCUCACUGUCUCUCCCCUACCACCCCCAACUGCCCCCAGUGUGUGAUGCUCCUCUCCCUGAGCCCACUUGUUCUCGUUCAACACCCACCUAUGAGUGAGAACAUAUGGUGUUUGGCUUUCUGUUCUUGUUUCAGUUUGCUGAGAAUGAUGGUUUCCAGAUUCAUCCAAGUCCCUAUAAAGGACACGAACUCAUCGUUUUUUAUGGCGGUGUAGUAUUCCAUGGUGUAUAUGUACCAUAUUUUCUUUGUCCAGUCUAUCAUUGAUGGGCAUUUGGGUUGGUUCCAGGUCUUUGCUAUUGUACACAGGGCUGCAAUGAACAUAUGUGUGCAUGUGUCUUUAUAGUAGAAUGAUUUAUAGUUCUUUGGGUAUAUACCUAAUAAUGGGAUUGCUGGGUCAAAUGGAAUUUCUAUUUCUAGAUCCCUGAGAAAUCACCACAAUGUCCUACACAAUGGUUGAACUAAUUUACACUCCCACUAACUAGGUAAGAGUGUUCCUAUUUCUCCACAUCUUCUCCAGCAUCUGUUGUCUCCAGAUUUUUUUUUUUUUUAAUUUUUUAUUGGAUUUUAGGUUUUGGGGUACAUGAGCAGAGCAUGCAAGACAGUUGCGUAGGUACACACAUGGCAGUGUGCUUUGCUUUUCUUCUCCCCUUCACCCACAAUUGGCAUUUCUCCCCAGGCUAUCCCUCCCCACCUCCCCCUCCCACUGGCCCUCCCCUUUUCCCCCCAAUAGACCCCAGUGUUUAGUACUCCCCUUUCUGUGUCCAUGUGUUCUCAUUUUUCAUCACCCGCCUAUGAGUGAGAAUAUGCGGUGUUUCAUUUUCUGUUCUUCUGUCAGUUUGCUGAGGAUGAUGUUCUCCAGAUUCAUCCAUGUCCCUACAAACGACACAAACUCAUCAUUUCUGAUUGCUGCAUAAUAUUCCAUGGUGUAUAUGUGCCACAUUUUUCCAAUCCAGUCUAUCAUCAUUGGGCAUUUGGGUUGAUUCCAGGUCUUUCCUAUUGUAAACAGUGCUGCAAUGAACAUUCGUGUACAUGUGUCCUUAUAGUAGAACGAUUUAUAGUCUUUUGGAUAUAUACCCAGUAAUGGGAUUACUGGGUCAAAUGGAAUUUCUAUUUCUAAGGCCUUGAGGAAUCGCCACACUGUCUUCCACAGUGGUUGAACUAAUUUACACUCCCACCAACAGUGUAAAAGUGUUCCUUUUUCUCCACAUCCUCUCCAGCAUCUGUUGUCUCCAGAUUUUUUAAUGAUCGCCAUUCUAACUGGCGUGAGAUGGUAUCUCAAUGUGGUUUUGAUUUGCAUCUCUCUGAUGACCAGUGACGAUGAGCAUUUUUUCAUAUGAUUGUUGGCCUCAUAUAUGUCUUCUUUCGUAAAUUGUCUGUUCAUAUCCUUUGCCCACUUUUGAAUGGGCUUGUUUGUUUUUUUCCUGUUAAUCUGUUUGAGUUCUUUGUAAAUUCUGAAUAUCAGUCCUUUGUCAGAUGGGUAAACUGCAAAAAUUUUUUCCCAUUCUGUGGGUUGCCGAUCCACUCUAGUGACUGUUUCUUUUGCCGUGCAGAAGCUGUGGAGUUUCAUUAGGUCCCAUUUGUCUGUUUUGGCUUUUGUAGCCAAUGCUUUUGGUGUUUUGUUCAUGAAGUCCUUGCCUACUCCUAUGUCCUGGAUAGUUUUGCCUAGAUUUCCUUCUAGGGAUUUUAUUGUGCCAGGUCUUAUGUUUAAGUCUUUAAUCCAUCUGGAGUUAAUUUUAGUGUAAGGUGUCAGGAAGGAGUCCAGUUUCUGCUUUCUGCACAUGGCUAGCCAGUUUUCCCAACACCAUUUAUUAAACAGGGAAUCCUUUCCCCGUUGCUUGUUUUUGUCAGGUUUAUCAAAGAUUAUAUAGUUAUAGAUAUGUUGUGUUGCCUCCGCUGCCUCUGUUCUGUUCCAUUGGUCAAUAUCUCUGUUUUGGUACCAGUACCAUGUUGUUUUGAUUACUGUAGCCUUGUAGUAUAGUUUGAAAUCUGGUAGUGUGAUGCCCCCCGCUGUGUUCUUUUUGCUUAGAAUUGACUUGGCUAUGCGGGCUCUCUUUUGGUUCCAAAUGAAGUUCAUGGUGGUUUUUUCCAGUUCUGUGAAGAAAGUCAAUGGCAGCUUGAUGGGGAUAGCGUUGAUUCUGUAAAUACUUUGGGCAGUAUAGCCAUUAUCACGAUAUUCAUUCUUCCUACCCAUGAACAUGGAAUGUUUCUCCAUCUGUUUGUGUUCUCUCUGAUUUCGUUGAGCAGUGGUUUGUAGUUCUCCUUGAAGAGGUCCCUUACGUUCCUUGUGAGUUGUAUUCCAAGGUAUUUUAUUCUUUUUGUAGCAAUUGUGAAUGGCAGUUUGUUCUUGAUUUGGCUCUUCUUAAGUCUGUUAUUGGUGUAGACGAAUGCUUGUGAUUUUUGCACAUUGAUUUUAUAUCCUGAGACUUUGCUGAAGUUGCUUAUCAGUUUCAGGAGUUUUUGGGCUGAGGCGAUGGGGUCUUCUAGGUAUACUAUCAUGUCGUCUGCAAAUAGAGACAAUUUGGCUUCCACCUUUCCUAUUUGAAUACCCUUUAUUUCUUUUUCUUUCCUGAUUGUUCUGGCUAGAACUUCCAGUACUAUAUUGAAUAGGAGUGGUGAAAGAGGGCAUCCUUGUCUAGUGCCAGAUUUCAAAGGGAAUGCUUCCAGUUUUUGCCCAUUCAGUAUGAUAUUGGCUGUUGGUUUGUCAUAAAUAGCUUUUAUUACUUUGAGAUACGUUUCAUCGAUACCGAGUUUAUUGAGGGUUUUUAGCAUAAAGGGCUGUUGAAUUUUGUCAAAUGCCUUCUCUGCGUCAAUUGAGAUAAUCAUGUGGUUUUUGUUUUUGGUCCUGUUUAUGUGGUGAAUUACAUUGAUAGACUUGCGUAUGUUGAACCAGCCUUGCAUCCCCGGGAUGAAUCCUACUUGAUCAUGAUGAAUAAGUUUUUUGAUUUGCUGUUGGAAUCGGCUUGCCAAUAUUUUAUUGAAGAUUUUUGCAUCUAUGUUCAUCAUGGAUAUUGGCCUGAAGUUUUCUUUUCUCGUUGGUCUCUGCUGGGUUUUGGUAUCAGAAUGAUGUUGGUCUCAUAAAAUGAUUUGGGAAGGAUUCCCUCUUUUUGGAUUGUUUGAAAUAGUUUUAGAAGGAAUGGUACCAGCUCCUCCUUGUGUGUCUGGUAGAAUUCGGCUGUGAACCCGUCUGGACCUGGGCUUUUUUUGUGUGGUAGGCUCUUAAUUGCUGCUUCGACUUCUGACCUUGUUAUUGGUCUAUUCAUAGUUUCAGCUUCCUCCUGGUUUAGGCUUGGGAGGACACAGGAGUCCAGGAAUUUAUCCAUUUCUUCCAGGUUUACUAGGUUAUGUGCAUAGAGUUGUUUGUAAUAUUCUCUUAUGAUGGUUUGAAUUUCUGUGGAAUCUGUGGUGAUUUCCCCUUUAUCAUUUUUUAUUGCAUCUAUUUGGUUGUUCUCUCUUUUAUUUUUAAUCAAUCUGGCUAGUGGUCUGUCUAUUUUGUUGAUCUUUUCAAAAAACCAGCUCUUGGAUUUAUUGAUUUUUUUGAAGGGUUUUUCGUGUCUCAAUCUCCUUCAGCUCAGCUCUGAUCUUAGUUAUUUCUUGUCUUCUGCUGGGUUUUGAGUUGUUUUGAUCUUGCUUCUCUAGCUCUUUCAAUUUUGACGAUAGGGUGUCAAUUUUGGAUCUCUCCAUUCUCCUCAUAUGGGCACUUAUUGCUAUAUACUCUCCUCUAGAGACUGCUUUAAAUGUGUCCCAGAGGUUCUGGCAUGUUGUGUCUUCAUUCUCGUUGGUUUCGAAGAACUUCUUUAUUUCUGCCUUCAUUUCAUUGUUUACCCAGUCAACAUUCAAGAGCCAGUUGUUCAGUUUUCAUGAAGCUGUGCGGUUCUGGGUUGGUUUCUGUAUUCUGAGUUCUAACUUGAAUACACUAUGGUCUGAGAGGCUGUUUGUUAUGAUUUUAGUUGUUUUGCAUUUGUUGAGCAGUGCUUUACUUCUAAUUAUGUGGUCAAUUUUAGAGUAGGUGUGAUGUGGUGCUGAGAAGAAUGUGUAUUCUGUGGAUUUGGGGUGGAGAGUUCUGUAAAUGUCUAUCAGGUUUGCUUGCUCCAGGUCUGAGUUCAAGCCCUGGAUAUCCUUGUUGAUUUUCUGUCUGGUUGAUCUGUCUAAUAUUGACAGUGGAGUGUUAAAGUCUCCCACUAUUAUUGUGUGGGAGUCUAAGUCUCUUUGUAAGUCAUUAAGAUGAUGAAUUAUUUCUGUUACUUCGUUUUCCUUCUACCAGUCUAGCCCCUUCACUGUACGACUGCUGAGGUCCACUCCAGGCCCUGCUUGUCUGGGGUGCACCUAUAGCAGCUGUGGCACAGUGAGGGAUGCUACCAGUUUCUUUUUCUACUAUCUUUGUCCCAGGAUGGUGCCUGCCAAAUGGGGUUGUUCGUUUAUUUCUUGUAUAUCUGUUUUAGUUUUAGUUUUUUUAUGGAUUCUAUAUAAUUAGCUUUUUGUCAGAUGGGUAGAUUGCAGAAUUUUUUUCCCCAUUCCGUUGGUUGCCGAUUUGCUCUGAUGCUGGUUUCUCUUUGCUGUACAGAAGCUCUGGAGUUUAAUUAGAUCCCAUUUGUCUAUCUUGGCUUUUAUUGCCUUUGCUUUUGGUGUCUUAGUCGUGAAGUCCUUGCCUUUGCCUAUGUCCUGGAUGGUUUUGCCUAUGCUUUCUUCUAGUGUUUUUAUGGUGUUACAGUUUAUGUUUAAAUCUUUGAUCCAUCUGGAGUUAAUUUUAGUGUAAGGUGACAGGCAGGGGUCCAGUUUCUGCUUUCUGCACAUUGCUAACCAGUUUUCCCAACACGAUUUGUUAAACAUGGAGUCCUUUCCCCAUUGCUUGUUUUUGUUGGGUUUGUAAAAGAUCAGAUGAUUGUAGAUGUGUUGUGUUGCCUCCGAGGCCACUGUUCUGUUCCAUUGGUCUGUGUCUCUGUUUUGGUACCAGUACCAUGCUGUUUUGAUUACUGUAGCCUUGUAGUAUAGUUUGAAGUCCAGCAAUGUGAUGCCUCCCACUUUGUUCUUUCUGCUUACGAUUGUCUUGGCUAUGCAGGGUCUUUUGUGAUUCCAUAUGAAGUUUAAAGUGUUUUUUUACUGUUCUGUGAAGAAGGUCAUUGGUAGCUUGAUGGGGAUAGCAUUGAAUAUAUAGAUUACUUUGGGCAGUAUGGCCAUUUUAACAAUAUUGAUUCUUCCUAACCAUGAGCAUGGAAUAUUUCUCUACCUGUUUGUGUUGUCUCUUAUUUCGUUCAGCAGUGGUUUGUAGUUCUCCUUGAAGAGGUCCUUUACAUCCUUUGUCAGUUGUAUUCCUAGGUAUUUUAUUCUCUUUGUAGCAAUUGUGAAUGGGAGUUCACUCUUGAUUUGACUCUCUGUUUGUCUGUUAUUGGUAUGUAGGAAUGCUUGUGAUUUCUGCACAUUGAUUUUGUAUCCUGAGACUUUGCUGAAGUUGCUUAUCAAUUUCAGGAGUUUUUGGGUUGAGACGAUGGGGUCUUCUAGAUAUAAAAUCAUGUGAUCUACAAAUAGAAGUAGUUUGACUUCCUCUUUUCCUAAUUGAAUACUCUUUAUUUCUUUUUCUUGCGUGAUUGCUCUGCUAGAACUUCCAAUACUGUGUUGAAUAGGAGUGAUGAGAGAGGGCAUCCUUGUCUAGUGCCUGAUUUCAAAGGGAAUUCUUCCAACUUUUGCCCAUUCAGUAUGAUAUUGGCUGUAGGUUUGUCAUAUAUAGCUUUUAUCAUUUUAUGAUACAUUCCAUCAAUACCUAGUUUAUUGAGAGUUUUUAGCAUGAAGGGCUGUUGAAUUUUGUUGAAGGCCUUCUCUGCAUCUAUUGAGAUAGUCAUGUUGUUUUUGUCUUUGGUUCUGUUUAUGUGAUAGAUUACAUUAAUGGAUUUGCAUAUGUUGAACCAGCCUUGUAUCCCCAGGAUGAAGCAUACUUGGUCAUGAUGGAUAAGCUUCUUGAUGUGCUGUUGCAAUCUGUUUGCCAGUAUUUUAUUGAAGAUUUUUGCAUCGAUGUUCAUCAUGGAUACUGGCCUGAAGUUUUCUUUUUUAGUUGAGUCUCUGCCUGGUUUUUCUAUGAGGAUCAUGUUGGUCUCAUAAAAUGAGUUAGGGAGGAUUCCCUCAUUUUGUAUUGUUUGAUACAGUUUCAGAAGGAAUGGAACCAGCUCCUCUUUGUACAUCUGGUAGAAUUCGGCUGUGACCCCAUCUGGACAUGGACUUUUUUUGAUUGCUGCCUCUACUUCCGCCCUUGUUAUUGGUCUAUUCAGGGUUUCAACUUCCUCCUGGUUUAGUCUUGGUAGAGUACAAGUGUCUAGGAAUUUAUCCAUUUCAUCCUGUUUUACUGGUUUAUGUGAGUAGAGCUGUUUGUAGUAAUCUCUGAUGGUACUUUAUAUUUCUGUGGGAUCAGUGGUGAUAUCCCCUUUAUCGUUUUUUAUUGUAUCUAUUUGAUUAUUCUCUCUUUUCUUUUUUAUUAAUCUGGCUACUGGUCUAUUUUGUUGAUCUUUUCAAAAAACCAGCUCCGGGAUUUAUUGAUUUUUUUGAAGGAUUUUUUAUGUCUCUAUCUUCUUCAGUUCUCCUCUGAUCUUAGUUAUUUCUUGUCUUUUGCUUGCUUUUGAGUUUUUUUGAUCUUGCUUCUCUAGCUUUUUCAAUUUUGAUGAUAGGGUGUAGACUUUUGAUCUUUCCUCUCUUCUCUGGUGGGCAUUUAUUGCUGUAAAUUUCCCUCUCGACACUGCUUUAAAGAUGUCCCAGAGAUUCUGGUAAGUUGUAUCUUCCUUCUGGUUGGUUCCGAAGAACAUCUUUAUUUCUGCCUUCAUUUCAUUGUUUAUCCAGUCAACAUUCAGAAGCAAGUUGUUCAAUUUCCAAGUGGUUGUGCGAGUUUGAGUGUGUUUCUUGAUUCUGGGUUCUACUCUGAUUGUGCUGUGGUCUGUUAGACUGUUUGUUCUGAUUUCUGUUCUUUUGCAUUUGCUGAGGAGUAAUUUACUUCCAAUGAUGUGGUCAAUUUCAGAGAAAGUGCAGUGUGGUGCUGAAAAAAAUGUAUAUUCUGUGGAUUUGGGGUGGAGCAUUCUGUAUAUGUCUAUUAGGUUCGUUUGGUCCAGCUCUGCAUUCAAGUCCUGGAUAUCCUUGUUAAUUUUCUGUCUCAUUGAUCUAUCUAAUAUUGACAGUGGAGUGUUGAAGUCUCCCACUAUUAUCGUGUGGGAGUCUAAAUCUUGUUUUAAGUCAUUAAGAACUUGCUUUAUGUAUCUGGGCACUCCUGUGUUCUGGGGGGGGGUGUAUGUAUUUAGGAUAGUUAGCUCUUCCUCUUGGAUUGAUCCUUUUACCAUCAUGUAGUGUCCUCCUUUGUCUCUUUUGAUCUUUGUUGGUUUGAAGUCCAUUUUUAUCAGAGACUGGGAUUGCAACCUCUUCUUUUUUUUGUUCUCCAUUUGCUUGGUAAAUCUUCUUCCACCCCUUUAUUUUGAGUCUAUGUGUGUCUUUGUAUGUGAGAUGGGUUUUCUGAAGACAGCAUACCAAUGGGUUCUGACUUUUUCUCCAGUUUUCCAGUCUGUGUCUUUUGAUUAGGGCAUUUGGGCCAUUUCCAUUCAAUGUUAACAUUGUUAUGUGUGAAUUUAAUCCUGCCAUUUUGUUACCAGCUCGUUUUCUUUCCCAUUAGUUGACUCAUUUUCUUCAUUGCAUUUUUGGUCUUUUCUAACUGGUUUGCUUUUGACUGCCUGUGACUGGUACUUGUUCCUUUCCAUGCUUAGUGUUUCUUUCAGGAGCUCUUGUAGGGCAGGUCUGGUGGUGACAAAAUCUCUCAAUAAUUGCUUGUCUGUGAAGGAUUUUAUUUCUCCUUCACUUACAAAGCUUAGGUUUGCUGGAUAUAAGAUUCUGGGUUGAAAGUUCUUUUCUUUAAGGAUGUUGAAUAUUCGCCCCAUUCUCUUCUGGAAUGUAGGGUUUCUGCCGAGAGAUCUGCUGUGAGUCUGAUGGGCUUCCCUCUGUGGGUGACCUGACCUUUCUUUCUGGCUGCCCUUAGCAUUUUUCCUUCAUUUCAACCCUUGCGAAAUUGACAAUUAUGUGCCUCGAGGUUGCUCUUCUUGAGGAAUAUCUUCGUGGAAUUCUUUGUAUUUCUGGCAUUUGAAAUUUGGACUGCCUUGCUAGGCUUCGGAAUUUCUUCUGGAUAUUAUCCUGGAUUGUGUUUUCCAGCUUGGAUUCAUUCUCCCCAUCAUAUUUGGGUACACCGAUCAAGUGUAGAUUAGGUCUUUUCAUAUAAUCUCAUAUUUCUUGGAGGCUUUGUUCAUUUCUUUUUACUCUUUUUUCUCUUGUCUUGCCUUCUCUUUAUAUUUCAUUGCAUUGAUCUUCAAUCUCAUAUCCUUUCUUCUGCCUGAUCGAUUCAGCUAUUAAAACUUGUAUUCACUUCACAUGGUUCUCGUACUGUGUUUUCAAUUCCAUCAAGUCGUUUAUGUUCUUCUCUAAGCUGGUUAUUCUAGUUAGAAUUUCAUCUAACCUUUUUUCAAGGUUUUUGGUUUCUUUGAAUUGAGUUAGAACGUGUUUCUUUAGCUCAGAAAAGUUUGUUAUUAUCCACGUUCUGAAGCUUGUUUUUGUCAGUUUGUCACACUCCUCAGGAGAGUUGUGAUCCUAUGUUGAGGAAUUGUGAUCCUUUGAUGGAGGUGUUCUGGUGUUUCAUGUUUUCAUCUUUUUUGUGCUGCUUUUUUUUCCAUCUUUGUGGAAUUAUCUGGCUGUGGUGUCAGGGUGCUGCUUGAUGAGGUCGCUUGUGUGCCUGUGGAGGUGCUACUGAGUUUCUAGAGACUCCUGCAGCUUAGUAGGGAAGCUUCCUAUGUCUUUUUUGUUUGUACUGGGAGAUUAGGUCCGCCUCUUCCGCUGACCUAUAGGUGCUCCUGGGUUGUCAAGAACACUGUCCUGUUGCUACAUAGGCUUCCUGUGUUUUUUGUUAAAACAUGUAUCCCAGUCCCAACCCUCUGGUGGUGGGUUGUGCCGCUCCUCCAUUGGGCUGGAUCAUUCAGGGAUCAUCUCAUUCUGUGGCACUGGCUGUGUAACCCACUAGAGUCAGAGCUUAGCUCUCUGGGGUUUGUGGGGGAGGGUAGGGACCUGCAGGCUCUUAUUCAACUCCAUGCUUGUAAUUCCUGGCACUUGACUGGCAAAGAUCCCCUUUUUUGUGUAUUUCUGAGGCUUUGUCGGAAGCACUGUAUCUGGACCAGAGUGCCAGAGAGGGAGUCUCUGACUUGCUGGUCAGGUGCACUUUCUGGGUGAAGCAGUACCCUUCCCCGCCUUGGUCUGCCCCAAGUGGGCUUUGUUCACCAUUGGACCAGACCUGUUGAAAUGCACCUGGUACCUUGGUUGGAGCUAGAAGAUCUCUGGAUUUCUGCGUCUCUCUUGCUGGGUGUUGUAUGCUGGAGUUGUAUCUAAUCUGCCAUCUUGGAUCUUCUUGGGUGUUUAUAUUUUCAAAUGAAGAAACUCAUCUUCAUAGUGUGGAUACAGGGAUAGUUUUUUUAAAAAUUAACUUUUAUUAUAAUUGUCUUAUUGAAUGGUUAUACACAAGUGUUCUGUUCUCAUUUGUUUUUUUUUUUUUACAAAUGGAAGCAAGAAUGAAAUGAAGGAAACUGCAUUGAUAUAGUACUCUUUUCCACCCUUGAAUCUCACAUCCAGAUUCAAAUGUUAAAAUUUUACCACAUUUAUUCUUUUUCUCCUUUAUAUAUAUGUGCAAACACAGACAUUUUCCUCCUGAAUGUAUACCCAAAAUGAUUCUAUACCCUUAAAUAUUUCAGUGUUAGUUUCCUGCAUUAGUUGGUUUUCAUGCUGCUGGUAAAGACAUACCUGAAACUGGGAAUAAAAAUAGGUUUCAUUGGCCUUACAGUACCACAUGGCAAGGGAGGUCACAGAAUCAUGGCAGGAGGCAAAAGAUGUCACUUCUUACAUGGUGGCAGCAAGAGAAAAUGAGAAAGAAGCAAAAGUAGAAACUCCUGAUAAAUCCAUCAGAUCUCAUGAGACUUAUUAACUAUAAUGAGAAUAGUACAGCAAAGACUGGCCCUCAUGAUUCAAUUACCUUGCCCUAGGUCCCUCUCACAACACUUGGGAAUUCUGUCACAUACAAUUCAAGUUGAGAUUUGGAUUGGGACACAGCCAAACCACAUCACUCUGCCCCUGGCCCCUCCAAAUCUUCUGUCCUCAUAUUUCAAAACCAAUCUUGCCUUCCCAACAGUCCCCCAGAGUCUUAACUCAUAUCAGCAUUAACCCAAAAGUCCACAGUCCAAAGUCUCAUUUGAGACAAGGCAAGUCCCUCCUGCUUGUGAGCAUGUAAAAUAAAAGUAAGCUAGUUACUUCCCAGAUACAAUGGAGGUACAGAUAUUGGGUAAAUACAGCCAUUCCAAAUGGAAUAAAUUGACCAAAACAAAGUGGUUACAGGGCCCAUGCAAGUCCAGAAUCCAGCAGGGCAGUCAAAUUUUAAGGCUCCAAAAUGAUCUCCUUGGACUGCAGGUCUUACAUCCAGGUCAUGCUGAUGUAAGAGGUAGUAGGUUCCCAUGAUCUUGGGUAGCUCUGCCCCUGUGGUUUUGAAGAGUACAGCCUCCCUCCCAGCUGCUUUCACAGGCUGGUGUUUAGUGUCUCCAACUUUUCCAGGCGCACUGUGUAGUCAGUGGAUCUGCUGUUCUGGGAUCUGGAGGACGGUGGCCCUCUUCUCACAGCUCCAUUAGGCGGUGCCCAGUAGGGAUUCUGUGUGGGGGCUCUGACUCCGCAUUUCCCUUCCACGCUGCCCUAGCAGAGAUUGUCCAUGAGGACCCCACCCCUGCUGCAAACUUCUGCCUGGGCAUCCAGUCAUUUCCAUACAUCCUCUAAAAUCUAGGCGGAGGUUCCCAAACCUCAGUUCUUGACAUUUGUUCUGCCACAGGCUCGAUACCACAUGGAAGUUACCAAGAUUUGGGUCUUCUACCUUCUGAAGCCACAACCUGAGCUAUACAUUGGCCCCUUCCAGCCAUGGCUGGAGCAGAGCGGCUGGAACACAGGGCAGCAAGUCCCUAGGCUGCACAUAGCACAGGGACCAUGGGCCUGGCCCACAAAACCACUUUUUCCUCCUGGACCUCUGGGCCUGUGAUGGGAGGGGCUGCCAUGAAUGUCUGGCAUGGCCUGGAGACAUUUUCCCCAUGGUCUCAGGGAUUAGUAUCUUGAUAUCUUAUAGACUCUUAACAGUAAUAGGUGAAAUUAGCAAGAAAAGUUUGGGGUUACAGAGAAAACGACUGGUUCUAUGAAAAUGAUUUGUAGCUUCUUGAUACUUUGGAAAUUAGACUCCUUGCUACUUACUCAAAUUUCUGUGGCCAGCUUGAAUUUCUCCCCAGAAAUGGGUUUUUCUUUUCUAUCACAUAGUCAGGCUGCAAAUUUUUCCAAACUUCUAUGCUCUGCUUCCCUUAUAAUACUGAGUGCCUUUAACAGAACCCAAGUCACCUCUUGAAUGCUUUGCUGCCUAGAAAUUUCUUCCACCAGAAUACCCUAAAUCAUCUUUCUCAAGUUCAGAGUUGCACAGACCGACCUCUAGGGCAGGGGCAAAAUGCUGCCAGUCUCUUUGCUAAAACAUAACAAGAGUCACCUUUACUCCAGUUCCCAAUAAGUUCCUCACCUAUAUCUGAGACCACCACAGCCUGAACCUUAUUGUCAGCAUUAUCGCUUAUCGCUAUCAGCAUUUUGGGCAAAGCCAUUCAACAAAUCUCUAGGUGGUUCCAAACUUUCCCACAUUUCCUGUCUUCUUCUGAGCCUUCCAAACUGUUCCAACCUCUGCCUAUUCCCUGGUUCCCAAGUUGCUUCCACAUUUUCAGGUAGCUUUUCAGCAACGCCCUACUCUGUUGUUACCAAUUUAUUAGUCUGGUUUCAUGCUGCUGAUAAAGACACACCCGAGAUUCAGAAGAAAAAGAGGUUUAAUUGGACUUACAGUUCCACAUGGCUGGGGAGGCCUCAGAAUCAUGGCCAGGAAGCAGGAGACACUUCUUACAUGGUAGCAGCAAGAGAAAAAUGAGGAAGAAGCAAAAGUAAAAGCCUGUGAUAAACCCAUCAGAUCUUAUGAGACUUAUUAACUAUAAUGAAAAUAGCAUGGGAAAGACUGGCCUCCAUAAUUCAGUUAUCUUGCCCUGGGUCCCACCCACAACACGUGGGAAUUCUGGGAGCAACAAUUCAAGUUGAGAUUUGAUUGAGGACCCAACCAAACCAUAUCACCUCCUAAUAACAAAGAUUUUACAUAAUCACAGUAUGUUAGAUAAAAUCAGGAAAUUAUCAUUGAUGUAAUACUGUCAUCUAUAGAACUUAUUCACAUUUCAUCAAUUGUUCCAAUAAUAUCAGGGACAACAAAUUUGUCAAGCUCUACAAGUAUUAAUGAAGGACAGUGCCACAUAAAUAAAGCAUACCCUUAGAUUGAAAUUAGAGCAUUUGUAAAGAAGUUGCCUUCUGAGAUAAUUAAUGGCCAUGAGCCUCUGUUAAUAUGUUUGCCGUCCUUAUAUCCUACAAUUUGACUUUGAAUUUUAGGGAGAAUAGGGAGUAGUAGAGAGUAAAUCAUUUUUGUUUUUGCUAUUUGACCCUUUCCAGUUCCUGACAGAAUAGUAGUGCAUGCCCAGAACGUCCUUUGGGAGGAAUCCUAGCAUUGUUUUCCUCACUUUGCUGUAACUCUUUCUUUCUUGUCUUUCUUUCAUACUUAUUAAGCAUGUGCUGAGCACUGAAUUAAAAUGAUAGAACCAUGUGUAUGUACUGAUUGUGCUGUUUUAUUCUUAGGGAAUAGGUUGUUUGGGCAGAAACCACUUAAAAACAUUUCUGGGUAAACUUUUAUUAUAUCUUGCAGGGAUAUAAAAGUGACCCUUUAUAGACUCUUUGUUUGUUUGGACCCUCCUUGGUAUUUCUUUUUACUUUUUAGACAUUGGAUCUUGUUAUGUUGCCCAGGCUGGAGUGCAGUGGCUCCAGCACUGCAACCUUGAAUUCCUGCACUCAAGCAUCCCUUCUCCAUCAGUCUCCCAGGUAGCUGGGACUAUAGGCUCAUGCCAUCUCACUAGGCUUUCCUUGGUAUUUCUUAAACAUGCGUUUAGCAUUUCUUAAGGAAUGCCUCGAUGUAAACCUUAAACGUGAAUACGCUAUAUCGUUCCUCAAGGCCUUUGUGCCUAUUGUUCCAUUUACCUUAACUACUCUUUCCCCAGAUAGCUGCAUGGUUUGUUCCCCUAACUCCUUCAAAUCACUCGUCAAAUAGAACUUUCCUUGACCAUAUAAUAACUACCUUUCCCUCCCGCUUCCUCACCUGUACUCCCUAUCCAUUUUCUCCAUAAAAUUCACCAUAUUGGUACAUUAUUACUUUCACAGCUUUGCUUGUAUACUGUCUUCCAUAGGAGUAUAAGUUCCAUGAUGGCUGGAGUUUAUCUGUUUAGUUUACUGUAUCCCCAGAGCCUUUAAUAGUGUGUUGACGUAGUAGACUCUCAGUAAAUCUUUGCGAGGUGAUACAUGUGCUGCUGUUCUCAGUCUGAUUGUGACAGUUUUUUCCCCUAAAAAAAUAGCAAUUCUGAGGGAAUUAUUUAAAUACUACAACUUAAGUGCUGUCUUUCUGAGUAGGGAAGCUUUAAAAUAAUUUGUUUUAGAACUUUUCUUUCAAAGGUUUUAUUUUCUAUUAUGUUAUUUGGUUCUACACAAUUUUCUUACCAAAUAUAUUGAAAAGAAUGAUUAUAAUGAGUUAAAUAUCAAUUAUUUUGUUUUUUAAUAAAAUGAAAAUGCUUUCUUACUUAAUGUUAGUCUUCAGACCAAUUUUAGAAGAAAUUAAUUACAUCCAUUUUUAUGGGUGAUGUUUGUACUUGCUGGGCUAUUUGAGUUUUUUUUUUUUAAAGAUAGGAUUUAUUUAAUUAUUUAUUUAUUUAGUGACGGAAUUUUGCUCCUGUCACCUAGGCUGGAGUGCAAAGGUGAUAUCUAGGCUGACUGAAAAUUUUGCCUCCUGGGUUCAGGUAGUUUUCUCGCCUCAGCCUUCCAAGUAGCUGGGACCACAGGUGCCCACCACCAAACCCAGCUAUUUUUUGUAAUUUUAAUAGAGACGGGGUUUCACCAUGCUGGCCAGGCUGGUCUCAAACUCCUGACCUCAGAUGAUCUGCCUGCCUUGGCCUUCCAAACUGUUGGAAUUACCGGCCCAAGCUACCAUGCUCUGCCAAGAUAGGAAACGUUCUGUGAACUUAUUUUUGAGUGAUCACAAUCACUUGCCUUCUAUUAAUGCUUCCUAUUAGUAAAUGAUUGAUUAAAUAGUAUGUGGAAACUUUCUUCUGAUCAGCAAUAUGGUAAGUCUUUUGAAGUUUAUAAAAGUUGGGCAGGAACUCUAGUUGUAAAAUGUUAUCCUUAUAUGUCAUAUUUGAGCAUUGCCAAUGCUUCUUUACAGGAAAAUGUGAAGGUUGCAUAGGUAACCACUGGUGACUAGGUCAUAGCGAAAUACAUUAGUAGCUUUAAGAUUACUUAAAAAGGGGAGGAGGACUCAAGAUGGCGCUGUGAGAACAACCCAGGAUUGAGGCUCUUGCUGGAUGCGCGGAAAGGGUGAGUCGGGGACGCAUUUCCAGACCGACCUUUGUUGCCCACAGAACGGGGAAAUUCCCAGAUAUAAAACAAACGCGGGAUGCCAUCCAGAGAUCUUGACUGGUGUAGCCAGCAGCCAGUGCAGCUGCGGCCUGCACCGGAGCGCAGAGGCGCUCCACAGUUCCGCACAAAAGCGCACUGUUCCGGGUGCCCUGUUGAACUGGCAACCCGAGACCUGAGAGGGCUGAACUUGAGACUGAACGGGACUUGAACAGUGAGCCAGCCCGGGACAAAGCAUUAGGGGUAGCGCAGUGCGACAAACAAAACGGCGAUUCCAAACGCUCGCUCUUAGGAGGUUCCCUUAAAGUGCAGCUCCCUGUGGAAGGGGCGUCCGCCAUUACCGAGGCAAUCAGCCCCUACUGAGGUACACGCCCAUUGCUGAUGCAGCCUGCCGUUGCCGAGACAACCCAGUACAACAGAGAGACUCCGCCGCAGGGCAGAGCCCGCGGCUGCAGGGUGGAGACCGCAGCAGAAGGGCAGAGCCUGCAGAAACAGGGCGAACCUCACACCAGCAGGGCGGAGCCUCGGCAGGACAAGUCUGCCUCCUAGCUGGGCAGGACAACCCGUCAAAAAUAAAGCCCCAACCUUUUCAGAAAGAGCAGCUGAGAAAAAAGGGGCCUUUUUAUGAGUUCUGUUGCAGCCGAAUUAAACAUAGCAGCCUAACAGCCCUGAAUGAACAUCAGAGCUCACAGCUCAGCACUUGAGCUCCUAUAAAGUACAGACUGUCACCUCAAGCAGCUCCCUGACCCCUCUAUAUCCAAAAGACUGACAUUUGGCAGGCAUCAUUCUGGGACAAAGAUAGCAGAAAAAGAAACUGGUAGCAUUCCUACUGUUCCGCAGCUGCUAUAGGUGUACCCCAGACAAGCAGGGCCUGGAGUGGACCUCUGCAGUCGUACAGCAAAGGGGCUAGACUGGUAGAAGGAAAACCAAGUAACAGAAAUACCACAUCAUCAACAAUCUGGCUGUCCACCCAGAGACCCAAUCGAAAAGUCAGCAACUACACAGACGACAGGUGGAUAAAUCCACAAAGAUGGGAAGAAACCAGCGCAAAAAGGAAGAAAACACCCGAAACCAGAACAACUCGCCUCCUAGAAAGGACCAAAACUCCUCACCAGCAAGGGAACAAAGAUGGAUGGAGAAUGACUGUGACGAAAUGACGGAACUAGACUUCAGAAGGUGGAUAAUGAGAAAGUUUUGUGAGCUAAAAGAACAUGUUUCAAAUCAAUGCAAAGAAACUAAGAACCUUGAAAAAAGAUUUGAGGAAAUGAUAACAAGAAUGGAUAACUUAGAGAGGAAUAUGAAUGAAUUAAAGGAGCUGAAAAACACAAUACGAGAACUUUGCGAAGCAUGCACAAGUUUCAAUAGCCGAAUUGACCAAGCAGAAGAAAGAAUUUCAGAAGUCGAAGAUCAACUCAAUGAAAUAAAACGAGAAACCAAGAUCAGAGAAAAAAGCGCAAAAAGGAACGAACAAAGUCUCCAAGAAAUGUGGGACUAUGUGAAGAGACCUAACCUACGUUUGAUAGGCGUACCAGAAUGUGACGAAGAGAAUGAAUCCAAGCUGGAAAAUACUCUUCAGGACAUUAUCCAGGAAAAUUUUCCCCACCUAGCAAGACAGGCCAACACUCAAUUGCAGGAAAUACAGAGAACACCACAAAGAUAUUCCGCAAGAAGAGCAACACAAGGCACAUAAUCGUCAGAUUCAACAAGGUUGAAAUAAAGGAGAAAAAACUAAGGGCAGCCAAAGAGAAAGGUCGGGUCACCCACAAAGGGAAGCCCAUCAGACUCACAGCAGAUGUCUCGGCAGAAACUCUGCAAGCCAGAAGAGAGUGGGUGCCAAUAUUCAACAUCCUUAAAGAAAAGAACUUUCAACCCAGAAUUUCAUAUCCAGCCAAACUGAGCUUCAGAAGUGAAGGAAAAAUAAAAUCCUUUGUGAACAAGCAAGUACUCAGACAUUUUGUCACCAGCAGGCCUGCUUUACAAGAGCUCCAGAAAGAGGCACUACACAUAGAAAGGAACAACCAGUACCAGCCAUUCCAAAAUCACAUUAAUUGCUAAAGAGCAUCAACAUAAUGAAGAAUCUGCAACAACUAAUGGGCAAAACAGCCAGCUAGCAUAAAAAUGGCAGUAUCAAAUUCACACAUAACAAUACUAACCCUAAAUGUAAAUGGACUAAAUGCACCAAUCAAAAGACACAGACUGGCAAAUUGGAUAAAAAUCCAAAACCCAUCAGUGUGCUGUAUCCAGGAAACCCAUCUCACAUGCAAGGAUACACAAAGGCUCAAAAUAAAGGGAUGGAGGAAGAUUUACCAAGAAAAUGGAGAGCAAAAAAAAAGCAGGAGUUGCAAUUCUCAUCUCUGAUAAAAUAGACUUUAAAGCAACAAAGAUCAAAAGAGACAAAGAAGGCCAUUACAUAAUGGUAAAAGGAUCGAUACAACAAGAAGAGCUAACAAUCAUAAACAUAUAUGGUCCCAACACAGGAGCACCCAGAUACAUAAGGCAAGUUCUUAAAGACUUACAAAGAGACUUAGACUCCCACACAAUUAUAGUGGGAGACUUUAACACCCCACUGUCAAUAUUAGACAGAUCAACCAGACAGAAAAUCAACAAGGAUAUCCAGGGCUCGAACUCAGACCUGGAGCAAGCAAACUUGAUAGACAUCUACAGAACUCUCCACCCCAGAUCCACAGAAUAUACAUUCUUCUCAGCACCACAUCACACCUACUCUAAAAUUGACCACAUAAUUGGAAGUAAAGCACUGCUCAGCAAAUGCAAAGCAACUGAAAUCAUAACAAACAGCCUCUCAGACCAUAGUGCAAUCAAGUUAGAACUCAGAAUUCAGAAACCAACCCAGAACUGCACAGCUUCAUGGAAACUGAACAACUGGCUCUUGAAUGUUGACUGGAUAAACAACGAAAUGAAGGCAGCAAUAAAGAAGUUCUUCGAAACCAACGAGAACGAAGACACAACAUGCCAGAAUCUCUGGGACACAUUUAAAGCAGUCUCUAGAGGAAAGUAUAUAGCAAUAAGUGCCCAUAUUAGAAGAAUGGAGAGAUCCAAAAUUGACACCCUAUCAUCAAAAUUGAAAGAGCUAGAGGAGCAAGAUCAAAACAACUCAAAACCCAGCAGAAGACAAGAAAUAACUAAGAUCAGAGCUGAACUGAAGGAGAUUGAGACACGAAAAACCCUCCAAAAAAAUCAAUAAAUCCAAGAGCUGGUUUUUUGAAAAGAUCAACAAAAUAGACAGACCACUAGCCAGAUAGAUCAAAAAGAAAAGAGAGAACAACCAAAUAGAUGCAGUAAAAAAUGAUAAAGGGGAAAUCACCACAGAUUCCACAAAAAUUCAAACCAUCAUAAGAGAAUAUUACAAACAACUCUACGUACAUAAGCUAGCAAACCUGGAAGAAAUGGAUAAAUUCCUGGACUCCUGUGUCCUCCCAAGCCUAAACCAGGAGGAAGCUGAAACUAUGAAUAGACCAAUAGCAAGGUCAGAAGUCGAGGCAGCAAUUAAGAGCCUACCACACAAAAAAAGCCCAGGUCCAGAUGGGUUCAUAGCCGAAUUCUACCAGACACACAAGGAGGAGUUGGUACCAUUCCUUCUGAAACUAUUUUAAAUAAUCCAAAAAGAAGGAAUCCUUCCCAAAUCAUUCUAUGAGACCAAUAUCAUCCUGAUACCAAAACCCGGCAGAGACCCAACAAGCAAAGAAAACUUCAGGCUAAUAUCCAUGAUGAACAUAGAUGCAAAAAUAUUCAAUAAAAUAUUGGCAAGCUGAUUGCAACAGGAAAUCAAGAAACUUAUUCAUCAUGAUCAAGUAGGAUUCAUCCUGGGGAUGCAAGCCUGGUUCAACAUACGCAAGUCUAUCAACGUAAUUCACCACAUAAACAGAACCAUAAACAAAAACCACAUGAUUAUCUCAAUUGAUGCAGAGAAGGCAUUUGACAAAAUUCAACAGCCCUUUAUGCUAAAAACCCUCAAUAAACUCGGUAUCGAUGGAACGUAUCUCAAAGUAAUAAAAGCUAUUUAUGACAAACCAACAGCCAAUAUCAUACUGAAUGGGCAAAAACUGGAAGCAUUCCCUUUGAAAUCCGGCACUAGACAAGGAUGCCCUCUUUCACCACUCCUAUUCAAUAUAGUACUGGAAGUUCUAGCCAGAACAAUCAGGAAAGAAAAAGAAAUAAAGGGUAUUCAAAUAGGAAAGGUGGAAGCCAAAUUGUCUCUGUUUGCAGAUGACAUGAUAGUAUACCUAGAAGACCCCAUCACCUCAGCCCAAAAACUCCUGAAACUGAUAAGCAACUUCAGCAAAGUCUCAGGAUACAAAAUCAAUGUGCAAAAAUCACAAGCCUUCCUCUACACCAAUAACAGACUUAAAGCCAAAUCAAGAACGAACUGCCAUUCACAAUUGCUACAAAAAGAAUAAAAUACCUUGGAAUACAUCUCAUAAGGAAUGUAAGGGACCUCUUCAAGGAGAACUACAAACCACUGCUCAACGAAAUCAGAGAGGACACAAACAGAUGGAGAAACAUUCCAUGUUCAUGGUUAGGAAGAAUUAAUAUCGUGAAAAUGGCUAUACUGCCCAAAGUAAUUUACAGAAUCAACGCUAUCCCCAUCAAGCUACCAUUGACUUUCUUCACAGAACUGGAGAAAACCACCACGAACUUCAUAUGGAACCAAAAGAGAGCCCGCAUAGCCAAGUCAAUUCUAAGCAAAAAGAACACAGCGGGGGGCAUCACACUACCAGAUUUCAAACUAUACUACAAGGCUACAGUAAUCAAAACAGCAUGGUACUGGUACCAAAACAGAGAUAUAGACCGAUGGAACAGAACAGAGGCAACAGAGGCAACACAACAUAUCUACAACUAUACAAUCUUUGAUAAACCUGACAAAAACAAGCAAGGGGGAAAGGAUUCCCUGUUCAACAAAUGGUGUUGGGAAAACCGGCUAGCCAUGUGCAGAAAGCAGAAACUGGAUCCCUUGCUGACACCUUACACUAAAAUUAACUCCAGAUGGAUUAAAGACUUAAACAUAAGACCUGGCACAAUAAAAACCCUUGAAGGAAAUCUAGGCAAAACUAUCCAGGACAUAGGAGUAGGCAAGGACUUCAUGAACAAAACACCAAAAGCAUUGACAACAAAAGCCAAAACAGACAAAUGGGACCUAAUGAAACUCCACAGCUUCUGCACGGCAAAAGAAACAGUCACUAGAGUGGAUCGGCAACCCACAGAAUGGGAAAAAAUUUUUGCAGUUUACCCAUCUGACAAAGGGCUGAUAUUCAGAAUUUACAAAGAACUCAAACAGAUUAACAGGAAAAAAACAAACAAGCCCAUUCAAAAGUGGGCAAAGGAUAUGAACAGACACUUUACAAAAGAAGACCUAUAUGAGGCCAACAAUCAUAUGAAAAAAUGCUCAUCGUCACUGGUCAUCAGAGAGAUGCAAAUCAAAACCACAUUGAGAUACCAUCUCACGCCAGUUAGAAUGGCGAUCAUUAAAAAAUCUGGAGACAACAGAUGCUGGAGAGGAUGUGGAGAAAAAGGAACACUUUUACACUGUUGGUGGGAGUGUAAAUUAGUUCAACCACUGUGGAAGACAGUGUGGCGAUUCCUCAAGGCCUUAGAAAUAGAAAUUCCAUUUGACCCAGCAAUCCCAUUACUGGGUAUAUAUCCAAAAGACUAUAAGUCGUUCUACUAUAAGGACACAUGUACACGAAUGUUCAUUGCAGCACUGUUUACAAUAGCAAAGACUUGGAAUCAACCCAAAUGCCCAUUGAUGAUAGACUGGAUUGGAAAAAUGUGGCACAUAUACACCAUGGAAUAUUAUGCAACAAUCAGAAAUGAUGAGUUUGUGUCGUUUGUAGAGACAUGGAUGAAUCUGGAGAACAUCAUCCUCAGCAAACUGACACAAGAUCAGAAAACGAAACACCGCAUAUUCUCACUCAUAGGCGGGUGAUGAAAAAUGAGAUCACAUGGACACAGAGAGAAGAGUACUAAACACUGGGGUCUAUUUGGGGGAAAUGGGGAGGGCCAGUGGGAGGGGGAGAUGGGGAGGGAUAGCCUGGGGAGAAAUGCAAAAUGUGGGUGAAGGGGAGAAAGGAAGCAAAACACACUGCCAUGUGUGUACCUAUGCAACUGUCUUGCAUGUUCUGCACAUGUACCCCCAAACCUAAAAUGCAAUAAAAAAUUUAAAAAAAAUUACUUAAAAAGUAAUAUUUUAAAGAACAAUUUGUUUCCUUAAUAAAAUAUUACAUAAUGAAAUAUAUUUAAUAUUUAAAAACUUCUAAACAUGCUAUUUAGUGUAUUUUUUAGGAGAAAACGUUUGGAAAUUUAAAAUAAUUUUCGUCCGAAUACUAUUUAUGAAACUUCUAUUUAAACUUUUGGGUUGAAAUUUGAAAUCUUUUAAAUAUGAAAGCAUCUGAGUCAGUGGCUUCUUAGCUGGCAUUUCUGUGUAUUUGCUUAGACUCUGUAUCCUAAAUUAUUCAACCUGCUAGUUACAGUACUGGCUGCCAUUUUUUCAUUUUUGGUAAAAUAAGGAAAAAGCAUUGGAAGGAAGAAAUGUAUGAUAUUUUAUUUCUAUGUUUAAAUAAAUGCAUACAGCUUUUUAAAAACACGUUUAUCAAUAUAUAAUUUAUAUGCUGUAAAAUUCUCUUAAGUGUAUAUAAUUCAGUGAUUUUUAGAAUAUUAACGGAGUUUCACAACUCUCACCACGGUAGAAUUUUAGAAUGCUGCCAUUACUUGAAAAAGAUCCCUUCUGUCUAUUUGCAGUUAUUUCCAAUCUCCCCAGCCCCUGCUCCAGGUUCUUUUGCAGGUUUGUAGUUCAGUUGUUUGUAAGUGGAAAACUUUUUUUUUUUAUGGUUUCCUGGUUUUCCUGGUAGUCCACAAACAUACCCAACCCAUAAUAUAGCUGACCAUAGGCGAUGAAGGACUAGUGAGUACUCUUGGAUAAAGAACAAAGGGACUUGUGCUAUGGAAAGAGAAGGUGUUUGUUUCUUGUUUCCUUCUUGACCCUGGACAGUAUUUUGACAUACCUAGUUUCUCUUUGAGAUCCUUUUACUACUUUGGUGUUUGUCUCUUUCCUUGGGCAUCCGCGGCUAUGAUGCUGCCUUAAGAAUCUACCUUUAUGUCUCAGUUGAUUUUGCCCUUCUCUUUUGUUCCUUCUAGGGCAAAAUCCUCUAUCCUUUGCAGUUUCUCUCUCCAACAAAUCAAACCAAAUCAAAUCAAAUUCUUACUGCUUUUAAUCUUGGGUAUUAUGAGGAAAGAAAGAAAGCAAACUUACAAUAAUUUGAGGAGGAUUGAUACUUCUGGAGAGAUGAAGAAAUUGCAUCUUUUAAACCUACAUCAUUAGACUCAUCAGUAAGUGACUUGGCAUUAUGAAAAGCUGACAAAGUAGAGUAAAUUUAGUUGGCAGUAUAAGGGAAUUUCAUUUGGAAUGAUGGAAUUACCAUAGUAGGAGGCACAGUAUUCACAGUUACAUUUAUAGAUUUGCCCCGUCAUGGUCUCAGCUGGCUCUCUCCAUUUUUGAUGUUUUGAGCCUAAGUUUCUCAAUCUUUAAAAUGCAGUGGCAAUAUUACCUUCCUCACAUAUUUGUUAGGAUUAGACAGACAGCGUAUUUGGAAAUAUGAUGAAUAGUGUCUUACAUAUUCAGUAAGAUGUUAGCUUCCUCUAAAAAUACUCCCUUAGCAGUUUUGGUAGCAGUAACCCAGAUGGCUCAAGGUCUUAGCUAUCCUUUGUAAGCUAGAGACUGCUUAAAUUUUUACACCAGACAUUGUGCUGGGAACAGAACCUACAGAGAUCAAUAACGUGAAGUCCCUAUUCUCAAGGAGAUCACUGUUUCUGAGAGAAGAUAGAUAAAAUAAUUAACUGUAAAUCAUUGUGAUAAAUGUUAUUUUUUAAGUGCUGUUGGGGCAUUGGAGAAGGCUUCAUAGAAUAAGUCUUAAAAGGAAAUUACUGUUAGCAUUAAAUUCUUUGUUCCUCAUUGUAUUUUCUUUAUAAAAAAUAUGUUAGAAAGCUUUUCUGUUUGCUAAUUCAUCAUGAUAAUCAGAAACUGAAGAGAAAUUUCUUCUCAGAAGAGCACACAGUUUCAUCUUAUUUCUCAAAUCAUGUGAAAGCCACAAGGCAAGUGUAUUGAGAUCUCAAUAAAAUUUCUGUUCAUUUUUUAGACAUGUAAUGUCUUUUACAUUAUUUAUACUUAGUAAUGAUUUGUCAUUCAGACAACCUCAUUUAUCCACUUUCUGCAGGGUUUCCAUACCUUAAAACUGUCAUUUUUAUCUGAAAGUAGUAGUUGUGUGGCACUAUACAAAUUUGAGGUGUGUGUGUAUGUGUGUGUGUGUGUGUGUGUGUAUGUAUGUCAAAAUUUAAAUUAGCAUUUAAAUAAAAAGCUUAGCAGUCAUCAGGUACUGCAAUGUUAUAUUUUUUGGCUAUGUAUUACCGUAUAGCUGAAACUCUUCAAGAUGGGAGUGGGAGGGCACUGUUCAUUUUACCAAGAAUGCACCUUGUUCUUAUACCCUGUCCAGACUUUACCUGUUGUAACUUGGGGAGGUGGUCUGUCUUCCUUCCUUCCUUCCUUCCUUCCUUCCUCCCUCCCUCCCUCCCUCCCUCCCUCCCUCCCUCCCUCCCUCCCUCCCUCCCUCCUCCCUCCUUCCUCCCUCCCUCCCUCCCUCCUUCCUUCCUUCUUUCCUUCUCUCUCUCUCUCUUUUUUUUUUUUCUUUUCUUUUCUUUUCUUUUCUUUCGACAGCCUCUCUUGUCCAGGCUGGAGUGCACUGGCAGGAUCUCAGCUCACUGCAACCUCUGUUCAAGUGAUUCUUGUGCCCUAGCCUCCUGAGUAGCUGGGACUAUAGGCAUGUACAAUCACGCCCAGCUAAUUUUUGUAUUUUUAGUAGAGACAGGGUUUUGUUAUGUUGGCUAUUUUGGUCUUGAAUUCCUUGCCUCAAGUGAUCUGCCUACAUCAGCUUCCCAAAGUGCUGGGAUUACAGGUUUUAGCCACUGUAUCCAACCCACAUAAUGCAUCAAAUGCCGCUGUCUCUACAAAGCCUGCAUUAAUAUCAUUGGCCAACAUUCGUUUUUACCUCUUCUAUGUUCCUUUGUCAUUUGUACUUAAUACUGUAACCAUUUUCUGAUUAGAGUCCAAGCUCCUUGAAGGCAGCAUUUGUGUUUUGUCAUCUUUGUUUAAUACUUUUGUCAAAGUAGACACAUAAUGCAUUACUGGUGAUUUAAAUUGGAUCUAGGAAGCUCAGGUUUGAUGAAAAAGUCUUUUGUUAUUCUUUAGCCCCUCUUAGAAUUUUUUUUUUUUUUUUUAAUUUUUUAUUGGAUUAUAGGUUUUGGGGUACAUGAGCAGAGCAUGCAAGACGGUUGCGUAGGUACACACAUGGCAGUGUGCUUUGCUUUUCUUCUCCCCUUCACCCACAUUUGGCAUUAGAAUUUUAACUCUAAAAUCAGAGAUUGUGAAAUCUCUUGUGUGUUCUGUUUGCUGUUACCAACAUUCAAAUGUAUUUCACACUGAUCAUGUGCAGUAGCUCAUACCUGUAAUCCCAGCAGGAGGAUUGUUUGAGCCCAGAAGUUUGAGACCAGCCUGGAUACCAUGGUGAAACCCUAUCUUUACAAAAAACACAAAAAUUAGCUGGGCAUGGUAGUAUGUGCCUGUAGUCCCAGCUACUUGGGAGGCUAAGGUGGGAGGAUAACUUGAGUCCCAAGGAGGGAAGAGAUUUCAGUGAGCCAAGAUCUUCCCCACUGCACUCCAGCCUGGGUGAUAGAGUGAGACUGUCUAAAAAAAAAAAAGUGGCUUAAACAGGAUAGAAGUUUAUUUCUUCUUCACAUGGGUCUGGAUAUGAACUGUUCAGUAUGGGUAGAGUAGUUCUGUCAUCUUCACCUUGGUCUUUUGUAAUGGAUCCAAAGUAGCAGGUUCAUUCCUUAUCGUCUCCCAGCAAAUGGAAAAGGAGAAGAGGCCAGGGGAACAAAGGCCCAGUGUGGUAAUGGCAAAAUACAUCGUUUCUGUUUACAUUCUACAGAAGAGCCUGAGAAAUGUAGUCUUCCUAUCAGGGCAGCCACGUUUUUAGCUAAAAUUCAGAAGCCUUUACUACUUAAAGGAAGAAUGGGAAAAUUGACAUUAAAGAUAGUAAUUUUUGCCAUAGUUUUUAGCUUUAUUUCCAUUCUUAAAAAUAGUAGAUCAGUUGUUCCAGGAAUCAAAGAAUUUGAGUAUUUGACUGAGUCAUCAGACCUAACAGGGUUUUAAAUUAUAUAGCCCGUUCCCUUACUGUAGGUGACACAGAAGGUCAUAUAAGAGCCUUCCCAGUGAGAAAUUUACCGUCUACUUUAGGAGACAGCACUAAUUACAAAUGAAAAAAGAGCACAAACGUAUUGUGGCACAUUUUAUGUGAUAUACUGUCAUGUGUAUAGACAUUUAUAGGAGAUAAAUAUUCCUGUAAAAUAGAGGAAAAUAGGAAACUGUUAAAGGUUUGGAGUUGGAAACUGAAAUAGUGCAAGAGUGUAAACUGGUAAUAGAGUUCAGAGUGGGUGAAUUAUCUUUCUCCCUCUUAAUCUGAUUAUGGAAUUCAGAGUGGAUAAGCUCCCUCCCCUUUGCUCUGCCUAAUCUCCGAGGUUACUUAUGACUUUUCAGCCUCAGUUACCACAUCCAGAUGUUCUUUCUUAGCCCCAUUACUCUUGACUUCUUUGGAGCAUUUGAUACUAUUGAACAUCUUUUAUUUUACUUUCAGUUCUGGGGUACAUGUGCAGAUCUUACAGGAUUGUUACAUAGUAUACAUAUGCCAUGGUGGUUUGCUGCCUCCAUCCUCCCUUCACCUACAUUAGUUAUUUCUCCUAAUGUUAUCCCUCCCCAAUCUCCCCACCCACUGCUAUCUCUCCCCUCACACCCCCACCCCGCAACAGACCCCAGUGUGUGAUGUGAUUUUUUUUUCUGUUUUUGAAAACAGCUUUUCUUUGAAAUGACCUCAUUCUCUAAUUUUGUAUUUUCUUUCAUUUUCUCCCUAAGAUUUAGUACUCUGUUUUUUUUUUUGCUCUUUUUGUUCUCAGUACUGCAGCUAUCAUCUUAAAAAAAGGUGCAGGUGCAUGUGUGUGCAGUGUGCAUGUGUGUGUGUGUGUGUGUGCACGUGUGUGCAUGUAUCCAGUUUAACUUUAAUCCUAUAUUCUAAAUUGCCUGCUGGACAUUUUCAUCUUGAUAUAUCAUUAUCCUUUAAAUCAUUCAAUGGAUUGCCUGCAGAAUUUCUGACUCCACAAGUACCCUUAUGCUUUAUAUCCCAGGUGCAAAAUUUGCAUUUUGGUCUCUACCUUCUCCUUUGCUACUAUAUGUUUUAUGAAUAAGCCCUGUCAGUUCUUCCUGGUGAUUUCAUAUUUGUUUGUUUCCAUUCUUACUGCUGCCAUAUUUAUCCUUUCCUUAAUGACAUUAGGUAUAUGAAAGCAAAUCAGGAAAUGUGCUGAAUGCUUGAGUUAAAGACUGUGGAGAAUGCUCUAGAACCUUGCUAUUUAAAAUGUCGUCUGUGGAUGGCAGCAUGGGCAUCACUGGGAACUUGUUAGGAUGCAGAAUCUUAGAAGCUACUCUGGGGGCUACAGAAUUAGAAUAUUCAUUAGAAUAUUCAUUUUCAUGAUUUUUCUAAUUGAUGCGCAUGCACAUUAGGGUUUGAGAGACACUGAUCUAGAAGUCACUGUGCAUUUCUCCUUUCCUCCUCUCUCUCUCCUCCCCCUCACCCCCUUGUUUUCUGACUAGAGUGCAGUGGUACCAUCAUAGCUCAAAGGGACUUCGAACUUCUAGGCUCAAGUGAUCCGUCUGCCUCAGCCUCCCAAGUAGCUAGACCUACAGGCACAUGCCACUACGUGCAGUGCGUAGUUAAUUUUUAGUAGAGACCACUGUCUCACUAUGUUACCCAGGCUGUUCUCAAACUCCUGGCCUCAAGUGAUCUUCCCACCUUGGCUUCCCAAAAUGCAAGGAUUACAGGUCCUCGAUGGGCUUCCUGGAAUAUUGGUGUGUUUAUUUGCAUCAGAUGUGCUGGAAUUCAUAGAAAUCUUGGGGUUCAUAUAUCCAGGGUCAAAUCAGUCAACCUAGACCAAUGGACAGCAGAACAGAUACAG